UCCCGUUCCCUCGCCUCCAUUUCUUCAUGGUUGGCUUUGCACCACUGACCUCAAGGGGUUCUCAGCAGUACCGUGCCCUCACUGUUCCUGAGUUGACCCAGCAGAUGUGGGACUCAAAGAACAUGAUGUGUGCUGCUGACCCGCGGCACGGCCGGUACCUCACAGCCUCUGCCAUGUUCCGUGGGAAGAUGAGCACAAAGGAGGUUGAUGAGCAGAUGCUGAACGUCCAGAACAAGAACUCGUCGUACUUCGUUGAGUGGAUACCCAACAAUGUGAAGUCAAGCGUGUGUGACAUCCCUCCCACAGGCCUGUCAAUGUCGUCCACCUUUGUUGGCAACUCCACCUCCAUCCAGGAGAUGUUCCGCCGUGUGAGUGAGCAGUUCACGGCCAUGUUCAGGAGGAAGGCUUUCUUGCACUGGUACACCGGUGAGGGCAUGGAUGAGAUGGAGUUCACCGAGGCAGAAAGCAACAUGAACGAUCUUGUCGCUGAGUACCAGCAGUACCAGGAUGCCACUGCCGAUGAGGAGGAAGAGUAUGACGAGGAGGAGGAAGAGGAUGCCUAAGCCACCUGACCUCAUCCGGUCGUCCUGCUGUCUGCUAGAUAUGCCUUGUGUUUACUAUUGCUGUCGAUUUGGUGGUGCUUGUGGUGCGGAUAGAUCUUUAGGUGGUUGAUAACACUUAUAGAUGCUUUUGCUGCUUCGGCGAAUCGAUAUUUUUUGAACUGUCUUUUGUAUGUUGAUGGUGGUUUUAUGCGAAUUGUGAUAUUAGCGUAACUGUGGACUUGAUACUCGUAAAUUCUGGAAUUAUAUUUUGUGUCUUUUUACUGUGCAUUGUGGUUAGCUCACGAUUGUUCUUUCUGCAUCAACUCCUGUGUUGUAUCGUGCUCUGAAAUUUGGUCUAUUGUUGCUGCAAGUUUUCGCAGCUAUAUGCUCCAACAUUUCAAGAAAAGAAGCUGUAUGGUUUAUAUGCUUCGAGCACUAGUUGAUUGUAAUGUUGUUCUAUUAUCUUGGGGUUUCAUCCUGUGGGAGCAAUCCAAGUAUCUCAGUAUGUUAUUCACUGGUUUGCUACAUAUGGUUAAAUCUGCCUCGCUUCUGUCACCCCAAUGUUGUUUCGCCUUAUGAACAAGAGGACAUUAGCCAAAGACAACACACUGGAAAAGUCCCUCACUCCCUCGGCUACACCGAAUGAUAUCGUGAAAAUAAACCAUGUGUCGCUCCGGCAUUGAACCCCAAGGUUUCAGCCCAACUGGGAUGAUCACUGAACUUUUGGGAGAUUUUCCCGUAGUCAUAGCAGUUUAGUUAGUUUGGGGCCCUCUUUGGUUAUUAAUUUUGGGCCUGGUAGGUUUGUCAGAUUAUAGAACCAUAAGAAUUUAUCCCUUUACUUGCGUUACAUACAAUUAGAAGGCAAUAAAACUGCGAAUCAACCUGUGGUUAAAUGGUUAGAGGGCCCCAGCCCACCAGAGUUCAAAUCCUGAUGCUCGCAUUUAUCCUAUAUUUAUUCAGAGGUGCUCAUAGGGUAAGGUGUGCGUGUGUGCACUGAUUUAGAAAAAAGGAAGGCAAUAGAACAUUUCUUUCGUUUCACGAUUACUAUAACAAGCACUAAAUCCUUGAGAAAUGUUUAAUCAUUUUUCUCGUGCUGCAAGUGCAACCACACAACUUUUAUAUACUCCCCCCGUUUCAUAAUGUAGUGCGUAUAGAUUUAAAAAAGAAUCCAAACUUUCUAACUUUUGACUUUUUUGUGUGUGUUUAGCUCAUGUUAACAGAUUGCCAGCCACAAGGGUUCAAGUCCCGGUGCUCACACUUUAUUUAUUUAUUUCAGGAUUUUCUACUGUGUGCAUUCAAUGAGAGGAGACGUUUACAUCGACAACGAGGCGUCUAUGGUGACUUCGUCAACCUCAAGAUGAUAUGCCAGCUCAGUCUUUUGGAGGUGCUCAUAGGUGUAGGGUGUACUUGUGUGCAUUAGUAGGAGUGAGUUCUAUGCACGUAUAUAUGAGCGUUUGCGUCUGUAUUGUGCUAAAAAAACAUAUUCCAUCAUGAACCUUCAUAAAAGAAAAUCUAUUGUUUCACAAUUUUUUAAAAUAAAAAUGAUGAUUUUUGAAUUUUUCGUUUUGAUGUGAGCUCUUGUAGCAAUUUCCGUAUUGUUUCUGCCUUUUUGUAAUAUGUAAAUGAAAGAGAAUGUUUUAAGGGGAAGUCAUUCUUUUCUUUUUGGGUUGAACAAUGCACUGCUGCUUUUGCUAUACUCGGGUUAUGGCCCAAUAGCGGUUUUAGAAGUGAAACAGAGUGGUGAAAACUGAGACGGAGGCAGGGCUCGCCUGAAUGACCACGUGAAUAGACUUUUCUCACAUUAUUGUUUUGUUUUUGGUUUAGUUUUUAUAAUUUUAUUUAUUUAUAUAUAUAAUUUACAUAAUGUUUUGAAAAAUGUUAACCAUGCAUUUAAAAAAUGGUAAAUGUGUAUACAAAAAAUGUUGACCAUGCACCUGAAAAAUGUAUUAAAAAAUACAAUGUGGGUGAAAAAAGUUGAUCAUUUAAUUGCAAAAUGUUAAUCAAGUAUUAAAAAAAUGUUAAACAAGUAUUUGAAAAAUCUGAAGUAAGUGUUUAAAUGUUGAUCAUGUAUUUAAAAAAUGUUAUCUUGUAUUUGAAAAAUGUAGAUCACACAUUUGAAAUGUAUUAAAUGUGUAUAAAAAAAUGUUGACCACGUAUUAAAAAAUAUUAAAUGUGUAUACAAAAAAUGUUUACCAUGCACCCAAAAAGUGUAUAAAAAAAUACAAUGUGGGUGAAAAAAGUUGAUCAUGUAAUUGCAAAAUGUUUGUUAAGCAUUUAAAAAUGUUAAACAAGUAGUAUUAAAUGUUGAUCAUGUAAUGCUGAACACAUAUUAAAAAUUGUUAAUCAAGCAUUUAAAAAAGUGAAGUGUGUAUAUAAAAACAUAAUGACCAUGUAUUAAAAGAAUGUAUAAAAAAUAUUGACCAUGUAUUAUAAAAUGUUAAUCUUGUAUUUGAAUAAUGUUAAACAUAUAUUAAAAAUGUAUUGAAAGCAGACAUAUAAAAUAUAAGUUCUCGAAUAUGCUAAUUGUUUAUAUAAAAAUGUUAACUAUUUAUUUAAAAAAUGUUUCAGAUGAAUACGAAAACUGUUGAAUUUGUAAUGAAGAAAAGUUUUCAUGAACUGGUGUUUAAAACCUUCAAGGAAUCGCUUCACAUGCCAGCCCAUUCACUCGAUGCUCCGGCUUGUGCUAGAGGCGAGACGGAGCUACGUCUAAGAAGCCCCUGAAUGUAUUUUUUUUUGGACGGGAAAAAAAUGGAAACCCCCGAAUGUUAACAUCUCUCACAGAUUCUCAAAAAAAAAAAGUAAACAUCUCUCAAAGGGUUACAACGAGAAAUCGAAGCAAAAUAAGAGAGGCCCACAUGGAAAAUGAACAUUCUUUAGUCCCUCUGUCUCGAAUUGAACAGUGUGAUAGUUGAGUCUUACAGAACGGAUUGUUGUGUUUCUCAAAAAAAAAAAGGUACUGCUGGUGAAUUGCUGAUAGCUUGUCAUUUUCGGCGAAAUAAGUAGAGCUCACAAACCUGAUUCCUGCACGCCGAUGAAAGGUUUCAUGCCUUGCGCACGUAUGCUUUGAUUUUUCUUGCUUAGGUCUUUUUUACAUGUAGUAAGUACCGAGUGAGUAUACCACAUAAUACAUGUGGUAAGCAAUUCAAACAAUUUAAAGAAAAAGUACCGAGUGAGUAUGGACGUCAAGGAAACUAACGAUAAUAUAUAUCGUCACGAUCAUCCAAGAAAAGACGGUUGGCGCAGAAGCACGCGGACCAUCAUAUUCAUUGGGACAGACAGGAGGACACGCACUUCGGUUUCGGGCCGGUUUCUUCCUUUUCUACGCGCUUUGCAGAAGACGGUACCACCAAUACGUACACGAUUGGUCGUUGCCUUCUUGUCCAAAACUAGCCGUCACAUUAGGCUGUUUCUUUUUCGCGAGGAGUCACAUUACGCUGUUGACACGCUGCUGCUGCUGGUGGAGAACCCGACAGAACUGCACGAGUGCAGCUGCGCUGGAUUAGCAAGUUUUUCUUUUUUCGCGAGGUUUUUUUUUUUUAAAAUCUCACAAAGCUUUAUUACUGAAUCAUAAUGUUCAUAGGUACAAAAAGAAGAUCGCCGGGUUGUCCUAGCCAAGUGUGUCGGCCAAACCCUAAAGAUAACGCAUGCUUUGCGAGAUUAUGGGCCUCCGUAUUGGAGGUCCUAUACUCAUGAGUAAACGAACAUGAAAUAAAGGUAGUUGCUCUAGUUUUGAUUUCCUCGACAAUGGCUUCAAAUUCUGCUGAGCUUCCCUGUCUGAUUGCAUCUACCACCACCUUGCAAUCGGAGGCAACAAGUAAAUGGUUGAUAUAGAGAUCUUCUGAAAGUGCUAAUGCCUCCCGAACAGCUAGUGCUUCUAGCACUUGGGGGUUGUGCAGUCCUCUGAAAACGAGAGCCGACACUCCCAUGAACAAACAUCUCUCAUCCCUGCAAACCACACCAACUGCGCCAAACGUACCUGGGCGUGACACGGCCGCGUCCACAUUGAGUUUGUAGUAAUCUGUUGGUGGUGGAAUCCACGUACGGGGUCGUGGUACUGCUAUCCCAUGUGCUUCCUCCUUCUUCUUCUUCAAAAACUCUAUGUCUGAUAAGUAAGCUUUGAUGAAGUUGUCAGUGGCAAACGGAGUCUGGUAUAUAUCCUCAUGUAUAGCUUUCCGUCUUGCACUCCAAAUCGCCCAUAAAGUAACAAUCAUCAACUGAAAUUGCUUCGGUGGAAGAGAGUCAUUCAUGGCAAAGAGCCACAGCCGUGCGUCAGGUUCUGAGGUUGCCCACAUGUGCUCGACCAUCUCGGCUUCUGAAAGUGCCCACACACACCUAGACACAUUACACUCCAGCAAAGAAUGCCGCCAGCUAUCCUGCCCUCCGCAUAGGGAGCAAGCACUCGUAGUGGCCAUAUGACGAUGGUUUAGGACAUCUCCCGUAGGGAGUGAGUGUUGCGCCAAUCGCCAAGUGAAAAGGCGCAGUUUCGGUGGCACUGACAUGUUCCAUAGCGAGUUCCACCCCCUCAUCUCAUGUUCAGAGUUGGAAGGAUCCUCCCUUUCCUCCAGCCAUGCCUCGCGCCCAAUAUUGAUCUUGACAAUCAUCUUAUAAGCUGACCGUACAGAAAAACGCCCCCUUGGAUCAUCAUUCCAUGCCCAGAAAUCGUCCACACGCCGUGUACAGAGCGGUAUUUGCAAGAUCGCCUCCACAUCAAUGGGUAUGAACACCUGUCUAAGCAAGUCCUCUCACCACACAGCUCUAGUGUGGUCGAUCAGAUCAGAAACCAGUUGCGGUGGGUCAGCAACUAAGGAGGCCACCGGCUUCAUCAUUCCGUCCCUUGGGAUCCAACUAUGUUGCCAUAUGUUCGUGGUAGUUCCAUCACCAAUACGCCGGAUAGCUCCUUGGUGAUAAUAUCUCUCCCAUCAAGUAUAGAUCGCCACACCUGAGAAGGAUGUGGACCUAGUUGAGCUUCAAGGACUGUACAUUGUGGAAAAUAUGAUGCUUUAAGGAUUUGUGCACUAAGAGAGGAGGGAUCAUUCAAUAAUCUCCAAAUUUGCCAAGACAAAAGUGCCAAGUUGAAGAUUUCUAUAUCCCGAAAGCCAAGUCCUCCCAAACUUUUCGGUCGGGUCAUCAAAUCCCAAGCUACCCAACAUGGUUUCCUCUUGCCUCUCUUGCUCCCCCACCAAAAUUGACGAAUGAGUGACGUAAUGCUUCCACAAAGGCCUUGAGGUAAUCUGAAGCAAGACAUCAAAAAAACUGGUAAAGCUUGAGCCACAGAUUUUAUGAGAACCUCCUUUCCUGCCACUGAUAAAAGUUUCUCCAUCCAUCCCUUUAUCCUUUCCCAAACUCUGUCUCGUAAAUAUUUGAAGGUGCCAUUUUUGGACUGUCCAACAUCGGUCGGCAGACCCAAAUACUUUUCACUCAAAGACUCAUUUUGCACAUUAAGUAUAUUCUUUAUCUCCACCCUAAGGGUCUCCGGGCAUCCCUUACUGAAAAAUAUGGACGAUUUAUCAUAGUUUACCCUUUGGCCCGAAGCCAAGCAAUAUGCAUCAAGUAGGUUUGAAACCUCAUUUGCCCCCUGGACACUAGACUUGAAAAGCAGCAGGCUGUCAUCUGCAAACAAAAGGUGGUUCACUACCGGAGCCGUGGGCGCCACCUUUAUGCCACCGAGCACUAAUGACUGAGAACUGUGUUUUAAAAGGCACGAAAGGCCCUCCGCUGCAAUCAAGAAUAAGUAAGGGGAAAUAGGAUCUCCCUGCCUGAUACCCCUGGAAGGUGAGAAGCUCUCUAAUCUUUCUCCAUUAAACAAGACCGAGAAUGAAACAGAAGUGAUCAUACUCAUAACUGUAUGGAUCCAAUCUGGUGCAAAGCCAAGCUUAACCAUAAUUGCCUUUAGAUAAGGCCACUCUAGUCUGUCAUAUGCCUUCAUCAUAUCAAACUUAAUUGCACAAAAGCUGUUUGUCUUGGAUCUGUUUCUCUUCAUGAAGUGCAAACAUUCAUACGCACAAAUAAUAUUAUCCGUGAUCAACCUCCCGGGAACAAAGGCUGAUUGCUCCUUUGAGAUAAUAUCUGGCAAUAUCAACUUCAAUCUAUUCGACACCACUUUAGAAGCUAUUUUAUAAAUCACAUUGCAAAGGCUGAUAGGCCUAAACUGGGUAAGUAGAGUGGGAUUUUGUACCUUGGGUAUCAACACGAGUACCGUAUCAUUAAUGCUUGCAGCAGUCUCCUCUCCACGAACGAUCCGAAGCACCACUUUAGUUACUUCAUCCCCACAAAUGUCCCAGUGGCGCUGAUAGAAGUGUGCAGGAAAACCAUCUGGCCCCGGUGCCUUCGUAGGAAACAUCUGAAACAGGGCCUGCUUUACUUCCUCAUUUGUGUAAGGAGCGCAAAGCGAAGCAUUCAUCUCUGGUGUCACUUUCCGAGGCACAUGUUGUAAUACAUCAUCUACCCCCUGUACACCUUCCGUCGUGUACAAGGUUUUAUAGAAAUCUGUCACAAGUUGUUUCAUCUCAGCCUUGUCCUCUACUCUUAUACCCAUCGCAUUGUGUAGAGCUCGAAUCAUAUUCUUCCUACGCCGCAUAUUUGCUCUCAUGUGAAAAAAAUUUGUGUUGCGAUCACCCGCAGUCAGCCACUGUAUGCGCGAUCUUUGUCUCCACAUUAACUCCUCCCUAUGAUAGAGCUCAACCAGUCGUUCAUUCAACUUUUGCUCAAGGUGAUUUGGAGCAGUCCUAGACGGAACACUCCGAAGCCUCUCUAGCUCCGCUUUUGCCUUCUUGAUCUCCUUCCUAACACUUCCAAAAGUUGCAUCCUCCCAUGCCAAGAGGUUCUUUGACAGAAGCUCCAAUUUUCUGCGAAUCCCCUCAACUCCUUGAUCCGCUUGCAGUUCGCUCCAUCCUGAGCUGAUAGUGUCACGCCAUGAUUCAUGUGACUCCCACAUCACUUCGUACCGGAAGCUCGGUUUAGGGCGUGGUAAAACCUCUUCAAACUGUACGAGUAUUGGUCCAUGAUCCGAGAACGCCAAAGUUAAGUUUGUAACCUUGGCCAUAGGGAAAAGCGCCGCCCAAUCAGCUGUGGCCAACGCUCUGUCAAGCCUCACUCGGGUGUAGGAUCCCCCGGUCACUUUUUUCUCAAAGGUCCAAAAUCUGCCAUGAUAGCCCAAGUCCAUCAACAUGCAAACGUCAACCGCAUCCCGGAAACCUUGUAUUUGUGCAUUACUCUGAUUAGCAGCUCCCUCAUGUUCAUUCGGACGUAAAACUUCGUUAAAAUCGCCCAAACACAGCCAAGGGAGGUUGCUAAAAGACGCCAACCCCUUUAGGAGAUCCCAUGUUUGGUGUCUCAGUUGUGUCUGGGCCUCGCCAUACACGCAUGUCAACCUCCAUGGGUCUUUCCCUUCCUCUACCACCUUUGCAUCAAUAUGAUAAACAGAAUCACCCAAGAUCUCAACAUUUAUUGUAUUAUUCCAAAAAAUCCCUAUUCCUCCACUUCUUCCUUGACUAUCUAUCGCAUAGGCAUUAUCAUAGCCCAAAGUGUUAGCUAAAGCUUCUACACGUGCACCCUUUACUUGAGUUUCAACAAUACACAGCACGGUAGGGGUAAAUUUCUUCGCAAAGUCGCGAAGCUCACGAACUGUCGCGGCUUUACCCGCGCCGCGACAGUUCCAACAAAAUGAACUCAUUGCGUCCGGCGGCACUCCUCGGAGGAGCCCGCCGAUCCAUCAUACUGGUCCUUGCCACGUUCCACUCCAUCUGUCACCAUACUCGGUGUCCCUGCAUCAGACAGCUCCUUAAACAGGGCUCCUUUAUUGCCAACAUAUUUCUUCUAUCGCUUCACCUCUUUCCUUGGAGACACAUAUACAGGCGGCAUCGGUGGAACCCCGUCCGGCUUUCCAGAGAUUACAAGAGCUGUAGAGCUCACUGGGACCACGUCCCCUUCUCCAUCAUCGCUCGACUGAACUGUCUCUGGAUGGUUCUUAUCCGAAGAUUGCCUCUUGUUACUUGCCACCACUACCCCCAGCGUUGCAGCAGUCGGUUCCUCGAUCAUACCCUUGGGCUCACUUGGCCCCGAUACUUCUGUGGUCAUUGCAUUGUCCUCUCCUUCAUCCUGCCUCCCCGCCUCCCUGCGAGGUUCAUUCUGAUAUGCAUUGAAGCGCCAACUUUGAUUGGGGUUAUACUGCUCUCGCCCCCUACCUCUUCCUCCUGCAUUCCUUGGGCCGCCUCGUCCCCUCUGGUUACCAAAACCACCUCUGCCAGGUUGCCUGAAGCGAAUAUUGUCAGCCAGAACAAAGUCACCCCAUUCAAACUUUGUCUCAUCAUGAACACCAUCACCACACUCCUCGUGCCAAUGCCCGCAUUCACCACAGUUAAAGUAAAAGACAGGUAAUUUCUCGUAUUUUACUUGAUAUCUAACUCGUUCAUCCCCCUUCUUUCCAGUGACAAACCUCUUAAUUUUUGCGUUGAUAUCGAUUUUCACCCUCACCCGGACAAAUUCACCAAAGAAACCUGCCGGUAGCUUGAGCUGCACUUCUUCCACCUCGCCAAUUCGCGAUGCCAUCCCCCUGACUGCGGGCUCUAUCAAAAAGUUGUCAGGUAAAUGAUGGAUUUGCGCCCAAACUGCCAACUUAUCCAACUUGAUGCUAUCAGGGUUUUUGAACCCAUCAUACUCCACCAAAAUCACUGCUUGGUAUCUGAAAAGCCAUGGCCCCUCUAGCAUGGCCUUAUUCCAAUCCCCUAGACAACCAAACUGCGCCGUGAACAAGUUGUCCUUCACCUUCCUCCAGACCACCGUUUUCGCUGGAUUCCAGGCUGCACGCAUGUCCCCAUAAAGAGCAUUAGGGCUGAAAGUCCUUGUAGUGUGUACCCUGGCUAUGGCUAGCCACUUCGCCGGCGCCCCCAGAUCCGGUAACUCCUCCUCCCACACGAAAUCAUCAUCUUCCUCCUCCUGCAAAUUCAACCUGGCUAGCAGCUCCUCCGUCGUCUCCUUGCCAUGCCGCCCCUGUGAGCUUGAUCCCGACGCCAUGAACCGAGCAGUCUAGUCGCCGCCAACGAAAAUCCUAGAUCGAUCUGCCAGAGAAACCACUAUAACCAAGGCCGGGUAAGGUCACGAGGGGCCUCCCUUGAUCAGCCCGAGUCCAGGGGAUCACCAGCAGGUUCGAUCGGGGAAAAGAAGGUAAGAUCCGGCCGCGGCGCCGGAGUAUGUCGAAACCCUAGGCUAUCGCCGUCGGGGAGAGAAAACUCGCCGAGAGAAAACGACUCACGGACUCGCCGAGAGAAAACUCAUGCUCUUGUCGUCACGAUCGAAGAGCAGCCUUUGGACUUGAUCCUGUACGUGGAGCCGAUAGCAGUGACUCGGCGUAGUAGCAGCACCAGCAGAUCACACACCGUAGGCUGCGUGCGGAACGCGACGGCGGCCGCUAGUAAAAUCGCGGAUCGCCUUCUCCUCGAACUCCUGUCGGUGGAUCAGCAAGUUAGGGACCAUGAAAAUUGAAGCCCGGCCCGCGUACUCCACCGAGCUGAUCCAUGGGCCGAUCUUCUCGAAGGCAAAGUGGGCUCCAUUUUAAACGGUGCUAGAGCAGCGGGAAAAAAAUGCGAUGCAUGCUUGUUGUCCUUGUUUCCUUUUUUUUUGCGGGGAGUCCUUGUUUCCUUUUGGACGUGGACGUGGAAGAAGAUAUGCGCUUGAAUGCUGCAUUUGGUUGGCUGUACUUAGCUUCGAAGGCGGCGACCGCGAGAGCUGGCCGGCAGGUACACGCCGUGGUACGGAAAGGAAGCACGAAUCAGUAAGAUGACCUGUGUUCAGUUUAGCUAAUCAACGACUCCGUGGUACGGAAUAGGCAGCCGUCAAAAUAAAAAAAGAUUGUGAUAACUGUCAACCGUGUAGCAGAUUGCAAAAAGUAUCACACGACCCCUUUUCUUUGAUCCCACCACGUCCCGAACGACCCCCCUCCUUCGAUCUGAUUUUCUCCCGAUUUAUGUUUCCUCUGCACAUGAGGUUGCGGCUCUUCCUAGUUUUCUGGGUUGCUACACACGCACAAUCAGCAGUUAAAAAAUGGGCAAAAAUAGUACUAGCAAGGGGAUUGAACCCACACCCUCCCAUACUAAAUGCAACCACAACAACCAACUAGGCUAACUCACUUUGUUGAUUCUACUAAACUUACAUACUAGUUGAAUCUUCUUGAGACGAGAUUGCACUAAAAAAAAACCAUUAACCAAAAAAAUAUCCAAAACGGCAGCCUCACUUUUUCGGGUUUUAAGACUAUGCACCCCAGUUUUAUCAUUUUUUCUGCACGUUUCACACCGGUUCACAUCGUUCACAAAACUGAUCGUCCCAUACCCUUCUUUCAGAUGCAUAUUACUACAGUGUUUCUGCGUAAGUUAUCAACUAUGUGGGUCGUACCUUACCAUGUUAUUUACAUAGAAAUUACUGAGGGGGUACUUCUUUAACAACUUUUUUCUCCCUUGGUCAAAUUUAAGGCGGUAUCGUACAUAAGUUAUCGGAUAUGUGUUCGUAUAUUACCAUGCAAUUUUCACAUAAGUUAUUGAGGGUAUUGUUUUUUAAUAUUUUUCCCUUUGGUCAAAGUUACCAUGGUGUUUGUAAGUUAUCGGGUAUGCGGUCCAUUUAUUACCGUGUUAUUUUCACAUAAAUUAUCGGGGGUAUAUUUCGUUUAUCAAUAACCUCCCCCCCGGUCGAAGUUACCACAGUGUUUAUACCUAAGUUAUUAGGGGUAUGUUUUUCAAGAACUUUUCCAAAUUUAUCGUGGUAUUUAUACCUAAGUUAUCAGGUAUGUGGUUCGUAUAUUACCAUAUUAUUUUCAAAAAAACUACCCAGGGUAUAUUUUCUGCAACUUCUUUCCCACUGUUCAAAGUUAUCGUGUUGUUUGUAUGUCUGUUAACCGGUAUGCGAUUCGUACAUUACCUUAUUAUUUUCACAUAAGUUACCGGGAGUAUGUUUUUCAACAAGUUGUUCCCCUCCUUGGACAGAGUUACUGCGGUGCGUAAGUUAUCAAGUAUGUGGUUCGUAUAUUAUCAUGCUAUUUUUAUAUAAGUUAUUAUGGUAUAUUUUUCAAAAACUUUUUUCAACAAAAAUAAUUACUUUUGUAUGUUUUAAGAAAAAAAAAUCCUCGGGUCAAAAGUUACCGCAGUGUUCUGAACUUAAGUUAUCACGCCUACGGUGCGUAUAUUACCAUACUAUUUACACAUAAGUUACAGGGGUAUGUCAAACUUACCAUGUUGUUUGUACCUAAGUUAUCAUGCCUACAUUACGUAAAUUAUCAUGUUGUUUACACUGAAGUUACGGGAGACAAAAAAAGGGUUUCCCAAUCUUCUCUCCAUGCACUAGACAUUGAAGUUAUCAUGUCUGCGGUGAGUUAAAUUACCAAGCUAUUUAGGCAGGAGUUAUCGGUGUAUGUUUCAAAUAUUUUUCCCCGAGUUGAAGUUAAUAGGGCACGGGGUAUUUUAACUUACCAGCCAUGCGGUGCAAAAUUACCAUGCUAUUUUCGCGGGAAUUACCAGGGUGUGUUCCAACAAAUUUUAUCUCCCGGUCAAAAGUUACUAGGCCCAGGUAACUUAGCAGCCCCCUAGGCCAUCGUGUAAAAAAAACUCCUUGCAAUAAUAACUUUUUUAGUGUUCAUAUAUUGAAUAAUCACUAGGGUGGAAUGAGUUAUCUACAGGUCGAUCUCAUAAGUUUUGGGUCUUCCAGGAUGUUGUUUUUUGAUUCACUAAUUCCACGAAUGUACAACUACAUGGAUUGAUGAAUCUUAGCACAAGCAUGAUGUAGCUGACCUGAUUAGUGCGGCUAGAGUUUCCCAUUGACAAGGCUAGGUCCUCCGUCGAUGCACCAUCUCAGCAUCACGAUGGACAUGUUGGACACGACCACACCCUGAAUUUAGGUAAAAUCAAUCAAAGCUAGGGAUGAAAAUGGAGUGGAAACUUUUUGCUUUUCUGGAGGAAAAAUGGAAAUGGAGGGGAAAUAUGAACGGAAAUGGAAAUUUGCAAAAUGAAAGUGGAAAUAGAAUAUUUUAUGCGGAAACGGAAACGAAAACGAAACAGUGUUUUCCGGUGGAACAGACGUGAAAAUGGAACUUUCCAUUUUCGUGGAUGUGGAAUUUUUGUUUCGACUGUAGACCUAUGUAGCCCAAUCGCCAAACAACAUACAAUGACACAACGAGUAGAAUGGAUCAUUUGAGGUCUACUUCUGAUAAAAACAUGUACUCAGCUUGAUCUUAUACGCAAUUGUCCAGUACUACUACAUACUACGCUAUGUUGCUAACAUAAUGAUAUUAUUGUGUAUCCAUGUUAAUAAUUCACUAAAUUUGUUUGCUUUUGUGUGUAUUUUUGUAUGAUUUAAGGGGUUGUUAAGUUCCGGUGAAUGUCCACUUCUAUUUCCGUGUCUGCUUUGUAUUUGCUCCCUGUCUGUUUCCGGUAGUAUCUAUUUUCGUAUUCAUUUCCGGGGUUUCUACAUUUGUCUCCGAUUUUGCAGAAAUAUAUGAAAACAAAUGUGGUAGCACUCAGUUUCACCCGUUUCCGCUCCGUUUUCAUCCCUAAUCAAAGCCGAGCAGCGGCAAGCCAUGUUGUGCAUAUUGUAGCAAGCAAUUCAGAAGCACGAUGGUUGGUUGGUUUCUUAUGGAGUAGAGGAAAGUGAGGAUCUGGAACCUGCUGGAGAUGGUCCAGCCGGCGAGGUUGUGCUACACGUCCAGAUGGCAAUGGGUACCCGCUACCCGCGAACCCGGCGGGUAAAAACCUUAUUAGGGUAAGGAUUUGGGAAAAAAAUUACCCAUGGGUUUGUAAAUGGGACAAAAACUAUACCCAUCAGGUAAGCCGGGUACGGGUAUGGGAAGGCAAUACCCAUACCCGCAUACCCGCGUACCCGUAAUAUUAUUCAUUAUGACAUGUAGGCCCUAAAUGUCAGUCAGUAAAAAAGUGAAAACCCUAGCUAAACCGAGCCGAAGCGGCAACGAGCGGCCCAACAGUCCACGUCUACCACUCCACCUCCCCUCGAUCCCAAUUCCCAAAUCCCUCCCCAACCCACCCCACACCGUCACUCAGACCAGAAACCCCCAUCUCUCUCUCUCGCCACAAACCCUAGAGAGGACCCCAAGCCACAGGCCGCCAUCGCCGGUCGUCGCCGUUGCCUGCAGCGACGCUACCGGCCACCUCCCUCCUCUCCUCCUCUCCUCCCUCUACCUCCUGCCCUCAUCUCUUCUUCCUCCACGCGAGACCUGCCAGAGGACCUCCUGCCGCCAUGGCGCCCGACCAGGAGGACGCUGAAGAGGCGCUUCACUCCAGCGCGGAAGUAGCUCUGGUGGACGGCGAAGGAUUUGAAGAAGGCACCAGCAGUGCGUCUUGUGCGCCGACGCCUUCUCCUACCUCCAAGCCCCUGCGUUUUCAGCCACCAUCAACGGGGCAGGUUCCCGGGCGCAGCUCCUCUGUGUCCAGUUGAAAGGUGGGGCGUGGCCGUGGUCGUGGCCGUGGUGGUGCUACACCUGCGCCGGCGGCGAGAAGGGCAGCAAAGCAUCCAAUUCAGUGAAGAGUUCCACCUUUUUUAAUGUGUUGAUUAGAUCUGUUGUUGAAUGAUCAAAUGUGUUCAUUAGAUUUAACCGAUCUGUUAAUGAAUGCUUGAGUAUGUUGAAUGGUUAAUUGAUGUGUUGUUGAAUGAUUGAAUGUGUUCAUUACAUUAACCGAUCUGUUAUGAAUUGGAAAAGUAAGGAAUAUUUUUGGAUGUUUGCUGCUAUACAGUUCUGAAUAUGUAAUUGUAGAAAAACGAAAGCUCAUCCAUGAAUGCCAUCGAGUUUAUGCUUGCUGCUAUACACUACUUGCUGCUAUACACUUGUGAAUAUGUACUUGGAAAAAAGAAGAUAGCUCUUCCAUGCAUGCCAUCUAGUUAAUGCUUGCUGUUAUACACUUCUGAUCAUCUAGUUAAUGCUUGCUGUUAUACACUUCUGAUUUUUAAAUUAACUAAUGUGUAUCAUACUUGUAUUUGGAUGCCUAUUUUUGUUGUGCAGUGAUACAAACAAUGGCCGAAGCAAAGAAGAUGAGUUCAUGCAUGACACGAGUCACACAACAACACCAACGGAUGAAGAUGGAGAUCAUGUUAUUGUUUCAGAUGAUGAAGAAGAGGAUGAUGUGGAAGAGGUGGAGGUGCUACCUUCUAAGCGCAAGCUCACAUAUAAGGUUUGGUUGGAAAUGAAGAAGAUGAGGAUCAAUGGUGAAUGGAAGGCCAAGUGUAAUUGGUGUCACCACUGAUAUGUGGACCUCUGACAGCCAAAAGAAGGGAUAUAUGGCUAACACAACCCAUUUCAUUGACGAGUCGUGGAGGCUAAGGAACAUUCUGAUGAGGUAUAUUGUAAUGAAAGCAUUAUAUAUUGUGUUGUGCCUAUUUUUAGCUUUUGCCAACUCUCAAACUGCUGUGUAUGUGUGCAUAUUGUAGGUUUAUUUAUGUUCAUGCACCACAUAAUGCGGCUGCUAUAGCUGGGAUGCUUCAUGAGUCGCUGGUGGAAUGGAAUCUUGAUGAGAAGCUCUUGACCGUGAUAGUUGAUAAUUGCAACGUCAACGACAAGGCAGUUGAGGAGAUUGUGGGCAAGAUAGGGAAAAAUAAGCUUCUUUGUGAAGGUACUCUACUUCACAUGCGCCGUUCUGCUCAUAUUAUGAAUUUGAUAGUGAAGGAUGGCUUACAUGUCAUGAAAUCAGCUUCGAAACAAGUACAAACGUGACAAAAUAGUGCACUUCAUUAAUAUUUUCUCUUGCUGAAAUUUUGUUGACGUUUGCCUACUUUUGUAGAUGCUCGCAUAGCAGAAACUAGCUUCUGGACUUGUCUUCAAGACAUUCAAGAAGGGAUGCGGGUUAGUACUUAGUAGUAUUCAAAUCAAACAUAUCUUGUAUUCUUGUUAUGAUGUAUCUUAUUACUACUUUAGAAUUGCACAUCAAAGAUAUCUUGUAUUCAUGUUAUCUUCUAUUAUAUCUUGUAUUCAUGUUAUCUUCUAUUCUUGUUAUCUUAGUAGUACAUAAGAAUUGAUGCUUGUACUCAUUACUCUCAAGUUGUCAUGUCUUACAAUUUACAUGUCCCAUACUAGGAAUUGAUGCUUUGAGAUGUCAAGGCUCGUGAAGUGGAGAGAAGAUGAAAGCAAGUCAAGUUGGUUUGGACCGUUCGGUUUCAUGUUGGAGAUGUUGAACCUAUUUGUGUGUUGAGAUGUUGAACUUAUUUCUUUGUUGAACCUAUUUAUCAUUUGUGUGUUGAACCUAUUUGUGGUCUUCGAACUUAUUUGUGUGUCAACUUUGUGGUUGGAAUGACUGUGUGUGCUGAAAUGCUGAAAUUUAUUUGCAAGUGAUGAAACUUGACAUGUCUAUGUGCUGAAAUUCUAAAACUUAGUUUCAACUGCUAAACAUGUUUAUGUGGUGAAAUGCUGGAAUAUAUGUUCAAAUGUUGUAAUAUACAUGCUGAAAUGUGGUAUACUAAUAUACAUGCUGAAUUGUGGAAUGUACAUGCUGAAAGUACAUGGCAAUUUUUUUUAAAGGUCACCCAGAUGGGUAUGGGUUACCCGCGGGUAUUGUCGUGGUUCUAAGUCUGACAGUAGUGUAGGGGGGGUACUAAGGGAGAGGCAAGAUCCUAGCAAUGGAGUAGUUGUACACGCAAGAGUUUUAUGAGUUCAGGCCCUUCUCAGAAGAAGUAACAGCCCUACGUCUCGGAGCCCGGAGGCGGUCGACUGGAUUGUAUGCGUAUGAGUUACAGGGGUGCGAACCCUUUACACUGAGGAGGAGGGUGGCUUAUAUAGAGUUCGCCAGACCCCUCCAGCCCUCAGUUAUGCAGGGUUUAAAGUACAUUAAGACCGGGGGUUACUGGUAACGCUCACAUAAAGUGCUAUGAAGACCAUAAAAGCUACUUAAUGACAGACCGUUGCGUGUAGAGUGACUUUAGAUCUCCUGGCCGUCGAGUGGUCAACUUCAUGGUCGAGUGGUUAUCUUCAUGGUCGAGUGUCCUCGAGACUGUCGAGUGGAACACCUCUAGGUCGACUGACAGGUGGUUUCUUCUAGAGAUGUCUUUGGGUAGGGUAGUUUGGACAGGUCCAUGACCCUACCCUAGGUACAUAGCUUCAUCAUUAGCCCCCGAAUGGAUUGAUGUUUGAGUGGGGAAGGAGUUGAAAAUUCUUCCGACCCAUUUCUCGUGCUAUGAGUAUGUCUUGUCUAGGAUCAAUGAACUUUAGGUGACAACGUCAACUUCUUUUUCAGUCGCCGUGAUCCAUUCUUUGUAUCUGUCGAGUGAAGUUUUCACUUGGAGAGCUCCGAGCAACGGAGUGGAGGAGAUCUUCCGCCUGACGAGCUGUUCUGCAAGUCGCAGAUUUUGUGGGAUUCGAAUUUUGGGAAGCGCGCGGGACGGGGCGUAGCCGCAGCAAUCGGACGGGAUAAGGCAGGGACGCCUCGAUCUCCGCGCCACCUUUUUCGCCACGUAUCACGCGCACGACUGUUGCGGGAUUUGACAGGAUCGUCCGGGCCUACAUGUCAGCCACUCGGAAGCAGCCUUAUAUAAAGCGCCGGACGGGGGUUUUUCAAUAGUGCGCCCUCAUUCCCCCUCUUCUCCAGAUUUCUCCGCCGCGUUUGCUUCUGCCUCAGUGCCGCUGCUCUGUGCGUGCUUUACCGGCGACAAUGGUGAAGGAGAAGACGGCGGCCCUGGAGCGGGCAAAGAAAGCGACGGCGAAGGCGAAGGGGAGGGGAACCAGUCGGAGUGGCUCUUCAUCGAGGACUGGCCUGCCGCCGGGCUGGAUCCAGGGCGACUGGAUCUGCUCGACAAUUAGUCAGACGGAUCUCGACGACCUGGCUGACGGAGGGCUGAUCCCCCAUGGAUGGGGGCGGCUCCCGGUGAGGGAGUCAGAGCCGCAGCCUCAGGAGGGUGAGUGCGUUCUUCUGGCCACCCACGUCGACCAUGGGUUUUCUUUGCCGCCCCACCCUUUCUUCCGGGGGUUUCUGAAUUUCUUUGGGGCACAACUCCACCACUUCACACCCAACACCAUAGUGUACCUCGCCGCCUAUGUGUCUUUGUGCGAGUGCUUCUUGGGUUGUCGGCCUCACUAGGGUCUCUUUAAGCACAUCUUCAACUGUCGCUCCCAGACGGUGAAGAAAGCAAAUCCGAGUGACGAGAGGACACAUGUGAUUCCGAUGUGUGGGGGUCUUGGGAUCCAGUUGAGGGGGAAAAGUUCUUUUCCGACCAUGGUUUUGUCCGACUCCGUCCGUGGGUGGCAGUCGACUUGGUUCUACUGCAAGGACUAGCCGACGCCAGGGCAGUUGACCGGGCUCCCUCCCUUUUUCGUGGAACGAGUGAGGAAGCCCUCCUAUUUGAAGGUGAUCCCGGAGGAGAAGGCGCAGGUGAGGGUGCUGGUCGAGCGUGUCGUGCAGCUCAUCCGCGACGGGGUGACUGGUAUGGACCUCCUGGAGGUCUUCCUCCGGCGGCGCAUUCAGCCGCUCCAAUUUCGAGAUCAUCCUAUGUGGAUGUAUUCUGGAACUGAGGACACCACUCGGAUCCACCUGGAAGAGAUCGGCGAUGCCACGCUGGAGCGGUGGAUGGGAAGCAUUACGGGGAACAAGGACAACCCUCGAGGAGCCAGGAGGGUCGUUCCGCUCGACCAAUCAUAUGAAGUUGACAAGGUCCAGUUCUGCAUUUCCGACUGAGAUUCUGUUUUUUCCAUACUGUCUGCUUGAAAUCAACCGACUGACUUUUGUCUUGUUUGCUGUCUUCUAGGCCACGACUGAAAUGUACUCGAUGCCCAACGGGGCGCGGGAACAAGCCGAGGAGGGGGAGGCAAGUGGAGGUGAAAGUGAGGAGGAGGAGUGGCAAUCUGACGGCGAGGGGGAAGAGGUUGAAGACGGUUCCAGCGAGGAGGAGGAAAUGGAAGUCGAUCCUCCUCGCACGGAAAGGCGAUCCAAGCUCGCCCACGACCCCGCGAGGGAGCGCGGCAAAGCGGUCGCGCCCGUUGUGCCAUUGACAAAGCACCCUCGGACGGCCUCUUCGGCGCCAACUGAAAACGCGCCGAAGCAUCCGCGGGCGGAGUCAUCAAAGCUGCCGAAGGCCUUGCCCAAGAUGAAAAUGGCCAUUCCCACCAUCUCCGGGUAACAGCAGGAUUUGUGUUUCCUUGUUCAGCUCGAGCGAACUUCCGGUCGACUCAUCGACUAACCGACUGGUUUCUGAAAUCUGUAGUGUCGCUACCUCCGAGACCUCCGCCAAGGACGGCGACCAAGAAAUGGAAGACACUGUCACCUCCAACCCUGGUACGUUCUCUUGUAGUUUUCGCUUCUGGUCGAUUGGAUCUUCGUUUCCAACUCUGGAUUUAUCUUGCAGCUCCUCGUCACGUCAUUGAUCUCCCUGAUGACAAUGACGAGGUGCCCCUGAGGGCAAGGAAGAAUAGACAGGCCGCAGCUAGCAAGGACACUAGGACUGGGUCAGUACCUGAGGUACUGGUUCAAGAAGGUGGCGACAUCGCUCGACAUUCUGUGACCUUCGUUGUGCCGCUGACGAGUGCCUGGCCUUCAUCGUCGACUGCUGAACCGCCCUCCCUUUUCGCCACACACCACGUCCCAGAGGACCAGGCGGGCGCUGCUAAGGAGGCUAUACGCCAGGCGGGGAUUAUGAUGGAGCAGGUGAAGGCGAUCCGAGAAGCCAGCCAAGCGGCUUAUGAUGCAAGCUUAGCCCUUCAGAGCAAUGUCCAGGUUAGUUGGCAACCGCCUGUUCUGUUAGGAUAUGUUAUCUGAAGAUUUUCUUUCCAAAAAUCUUUGUGUCUGUACACCCGCUGGGUGUGUCGAUUGGGUUUGUAGACUGGUGGGGGCAUGCUGAGUGCACCCACUGGGUGUAGUCUCUGAGACUAUGGUGGACUGCUGGCAGUCGACUAUAGUCUUUGUAGUUGAAAUUUCUUCACUCGUCUGGUCGGACCAUGUCGAGUGGAACAUUAGGACCUGUGGGGGCAUGCUGAAUGCACCCACUGGGUGUAGUCUCCGAGACUAUGGUGGACUGCUGGCAGUCGACUGUAGUCUUUGUAGUUGAAAUUUCUUCACUCGGUCUGGUCGGACCAUGUCGAGUGGAACAUUAGGACCCGUGGGGGCACGCUGAGUGCACUCACUGGGUGUAGUCCCCGAGACUAUGGUGGACUGCUGGCAGUCGACUGUAGUAUGAAGAACUCUCUUUUUUUUGUAGACUAUGAUGAGACCAUAAUCUCUUUGUUCCUUUCGAUCGACUGAUCGGAUCGAGUCGGUAGAACCAGUGGGGGCACGCUGAGUGCACCCACUGGGUGUAGCCCCCAAGACUAUUGUUGAAUAUUUUGAUUCGACUGUAGUCUUAGAAACGUUACUAUUUUUCUCUUAGUCACUCGGAAGUAACCUCUCUUUGAUGUUUGUCGACUGACUCUUUUCUAGAAAUCUUGCGAGCUCGUGGCCGUUAUACUGAGUUGGAAAAGAAACAUAUCCAGCUCGACCUUGACUUGAAACUUGUUCAGGAGAACUUUCAGAAGGCGAAGGACGAGGCAAAAGGUAUGAUUGGUGAGAACUUGACGAUUGUUUUUAUCUUUCUGCCCAUUAUUGAUUCUGACCUCCUUGUCAUUUUGCAGAGAAAAUGAAGGUGGCUCUGAACAAGAAGGACCAGGAACUUGCUGAGGCGCAGAAGGCUGCAUUGGAUAAAACGAAGCUUGCGGAAGAGAAGCUGGCUUCAGUCGGCAAACUCGAAGAAGAGAACGUCAACCUGAAAGCUACUCUCGAUGCGGCCAACAAGGAAGUCAGCCGUCUGAAGAAUGACAAGAUUGCUCUGAGUGACAAGGCAAGUGAACUGGUAGGGAAGAAGAAUGAUCUGGAAGCUUAUCUGGGAGGGCUCGCCAAGAAGCUGUUCCUCAUGCUUGAAGGUACCUUUUUCACUCGACUGACUUGUCACCAUUGAUUCGUCGCGGAACUGCUGGUUUAUGCUUGACUUGUGUUUACAGAAUUCUGCCAAAACUUUGAGGAAGAGACCAGUCGAGUGGAGACAGGCUUGGAUCCCAUCAACUCUCCAAUGAAGGAUGAAGCUGCCAUGAAUGUGCUUUGACUAGAGUCCCGUGUCGCUGCUGUGGUGGACUAUCUGGCCCGACUGAAGGCAGCAACAUCGCGAAUCGACACGACAAUCUGGCCAGGGGAGACGCUUCAGAACGACCUCGAGUCUUUGAUGACUCGACUGAAUGAAGUCCCAAGCCGAGUGCAAGAAUGGAAGAAGUCUUCUGCCAGGUGCGGUGCUGAUGUAGCUGUAUCUUUAGUCCGUGUUCACUUCAAAGAUGCACGAGAGGAAAAGCUGGCUUCCCUCAAGGUGGCCAAUACUAAGAAGCAUGACUUCUGAUCCUUCAUGGAGACAUUCAUUGCUGCUGCCACUCGGAUUGCUGAUGGAAUCGACCUGGACGAGUUUGUCGCGCCUUCAAGUCCUCCACCGGAGGAGUAAAAAACUUCUAUGCUUGAUGCCUUAAAUUUUCCUCGGAAUGCCGAGUGGUUUUUGUAACCGAUAAACUUUAACAGGCUUGAUGCCUGAGCACUUCUGGAUCCGUAGGAUGUUAUCUGAACUUGGGUUUGUGGUUGAAUAUGUUUGCAUUUGUCUUCGAACGAACAUUGUUCUUUGCUCGGAAUAUAUUUUGUGCUUGGGACGUGCUCUUGCAGGUUGGAGCACAGAUUGCAGUCGACUUGCGUCCUUGCGACCCAAGAUGAAGCGCACAUUGUAUUUGUGCCGUAGCUCGAAGGAGAAGGUAGCAGUUGACCUGCACCUCGUCGUCCUUGCAGAGCGCACGUGGUAUUUGUGCCGGAGCCCGGAGGAGACGGUAAUAGUGGACCUGCACCUCGUCGUCCUUGCGGAGCGCAUGUUGUGUUUGUGCCAAAGCCCGGAGGAGAAGAUAACAGUCGACCUGUACCUCGUCAUCUUUGCGGGUCGGAAUGAUUUUCGUACUUAGGCAAGUGCUGGACUGCAGCUAAGCCUCCGAGUGUGAGGCAGACUCACCACUCGAUAGGAUUUUAAACACUUAGGAGAGCACUCAGCUGCGGCUAAGCCUCCGAGUGAGAGGCAGAUUCACCACUCGGUAGGAUUUUAAACACUUAGGCGAGCACUGGGCUGCAGCUAAGCCUCUGAGUGAGAGGCAGAUUCACCACUCGGUAGGAUUUCAAAUACUUAGGCGAGUACUGGACCGCAGCUAAGCCUCCGAGUGAGAGGCAGAUUCACCACUCGGUAGGAUUUUAAACACUUAGGCGAGCACUGGGCUGCAGCUAAGCCUCCGAGUGAGAGGCAGAUUCACCACUCGGUAGGAUUUCAAAUACUUAGGCGAGUACUGGACCGCAGCUAAGCCUCCCGAGUGAGAGACAGACUCACNNNNNNNNNNNNNNNNNNNNNNNNNNNNNNNNNNNNNNNNNNNNNNNNNNNNNNNNNNNNNNNNNNNNNNNNNNNNNNNNNNNNNNNNNNNNNNNNNNNNNNNNNNNNNNNNNNNNNNNNNNNNNNNNNNNNNNNNNNNNNNNNNNNNNNNNNNNNNNNNNNNNNNNNNNNNNNNNNNNNNNNNNNNNNNNNNNNNNNNNNNNNNNNNNNNNNNNNNNNNNNNNNNNNNNNNNNNNNNNNNNNNNNNNNNNNNNNNNNNNNNNNNNNNNNNNNNNNNNNNNNNNNNNNNNNNNNNNNNNNNNNNNNNNNNNNNNNNNNNNNNNNNNNNNNNNNNNNNNNNNNNNNNNNNNNNNNNNNNNNNNNNNNNNNNNNNNNNNNNNNNNNNNNNNNNNNNNNNNNNNNNNNNNNNNNNNNNNNNNNNNNNNNNNNNNNNNNNNNNNNNNNNNNNNNNNNNNNNNNNNNNNNNNNNNNNNNNNNNNNNNNNNNNNNNNNNNNCCACUCAGUAGGAUUUCAAACACUUAGGCGAAACGGAUUCGUAGCUAAGCCCCUGAGUGGGAGGUUUGCUCUCCACUCGGUAGGAUUUCAAACACUUAGGCGAAACGGAUUCGCAGCUAAGCCCCCGAGUGGGAGGUUUGCUCUCCACUCGGUAGGAUUUCAAACACUUAGGCGAAACGAAUUCGCAGCUAAGCCCCCGAGUGGGAGGUUUUCUCUCCACUCGGUAGGAUUUCAAACACUUAGGCGAAACGGAUUCGCAGCUAAGUCUCCGAGUGAGAGGCUUGCUCGUCACUUGGCAGGAUUUUUUUACAAACUUAGGCGAAACGAAUUCGCAGCUAAGCCACCCACUGGGGGAUUUCUUACAUAAGCAAAAGCGGCAACAAUUAGUGGGAAAAUUAUAACACUUUUAUCUUUGAUAGAUAAACUACAAGAGUACUUUUAUUACAUCUCAUCCGAUUGAGUACUUAAGUGUAAAAGGGGCGGACAAGAUCCGCAUUCCAAGCUCGUGGCUCGUGAAUCUGGCGAUCGACGUUGUAAAGACGGUAUGCUCCAUUGUGGAGAACUUUGGUGACGAUGAAGGGGCCUUCCCAAGUAGGGGCGAGUUUGUGUGGCUUCUGUUGGUCCACUCGGAGGACCAAGUCUCCUUCUUGGAACGCUCGGCUCUUCACAUUUAUGGCAUAGAAUCGGCACAAGUCUUGCUGAUAGAUGGUCGAUCGGAUCAUGGCCAUCUCUCUUUCUUCUUCCAGAAGGCCGACUGCGUCCUGCCGGGCUUGCUCUGCUUCGACUUCAGAGUAGAGCUCGACUCGCGGUGCAUUGUGAAGCAGGUCACUUGGCAGAACCGCUUCAGCUCCAUAGACCAGAAAGAAUGGAGUUCUCCCAGUCGACCGAUUUGGGGUAGUCCUCAAUCCCCAAAGAACUGAUGGAAGUUCGUCGACCCACGCGCCUGCUGCGUGCUUGAGAUCACGCAUCAACCGGGGUUUCAGUCCUUAGAGAAUUAGGCCGUUUGCUCUUUCUGCUUGUCCAUUCGACUAGGGAUGGGCGACUGAAGCGUAGCCGACUCGUGUGCCUUGAGAAGCGCAGAAGGCUUUGAAUUGAUCGGAAUCGAAGUUUGACGCAUUAUCGGCGAUGAUGCUAUGCGGAACUCCAUUUCUGAAUAUCAAUUCUCUAAUGAAGCUGAUGGCAGUGCUAGCAUCAAGAUUUUUAAUAGGCUUGGCUUCGAUCCACUUGGUGAACUUGUCGACUGCCACCAGUACAUGGGUGAAGCCGCUCCUGCCAGUUCUCAGUGGACCAACCAUAUCUAACCCCCAAACGGCGAAAGGCCAGCCGAUUGGAAUGGUCUUUAGGGCUGAGGCGGGCUUGUGCGACAUAUUGGAGUAGAACUGACAUCCUUCACACUUGUCGACUAUCUCCUUCGCCAUUUCAUUUGCUCUGGGCCAGUAAAAACCUACUCGGUAUGCUUUAGCCACGAUAGUCUGAGAGGAUGCAUGAUGGCCACAGGUCCCCGAGUGGAUGUCGUUGAGAAUUAUCCGACCCUCUUCCAGCGUUAUGCAUUUCUGACUGGCUCCACUCGCGCUUUCUUUGUACAACUUUCCCUUCAUGACAGUAAAGGCCUUAGAUCGACGGACGAUCUGUCGAGCCUCUUCUUCAUUCUCUGGGAGCUCUUUCCUUAGGAUAUAUGCGAUGUAAGGCACUGUCCAAUCAGGAGUGAUAACCAAAACUUCCAUGAUCAGGUCGACCACGGCUGGAACCUCGACUUUAGUCAGAUCUGUGACACUUCUUGGCUGCGGGGCUUCUUCAGUGAAAGGGUCCUCUUGAACCGACGGCGCGUGGAUAUGCUCCAAAAACACACCACUGGGAAUGGCUUCUCUCUUGGAACCUAUCUUUGCCAAAUCAUCGACUGCUUGAUUCUUUAGUCGGGGUAUAUGGUGAAGCUCUAACCCCUCGAAUUUCUUCUCCAACUUUCUUACUGCGUUGUAGUAACCAGUCAUAGCUAGGCUUCUGACAUCCCACUCCUUCAUCACUUGGUUAACCACCAAAUCUGAGUCUCCAUAGACCAUGAGGCGACGGACGCCGAGUGAAAUGGCCAUACGCAACCCGUACAAAAGUGCUUCACAUUCUGCUUCGUUGUUGGAGGAAUCAAAGUGAAUCUGGAGUACAUAUCUGAGCUUAUCUCCUCGGGGGGAAACCAACACUACCCCAGCACCAGAACCAUUCAACAUCUUAGAGCCAUCAAAGGACAUGGUCCAGUGCUCCGAGUGAACUUGAGUCGGCAGUUGCUGUUCAGUCCACUCAGCGAGGAAAUCUGCUAUUGCUUGGGACUUGAUAGCUUUCUUUGCCUCAAAUCUGAUAGCCAGGGGAAGGAGUUCAAUCGCCCAUUUUGCCACUCAACCAGUUGCGUCUCUGUUGUGCAGAAUCUCUGACAAUGGGGCGUCGCUGACGACUGUAAUGGUAUGGUCAGAGAAGUAGUGAGCAACUUUCUUCGUGGUCAUAUAAAUCCCAUAUACAAGCUUCUGAUAAUGAGGGUAUCUUUGCUUCGAUGGGGUCAGGACUUCAGAGAUGUAAUAUACUAGGCGCUGAACUUUGAAGGCUUUCCCUUCUUCCUCCCGCUCGACCGUAAGUACUAUACUGAUGGCUUGUACUGUGGCUGCAAUGUAAAGCAGCAAAGGCUCUUUGCUGAUCGGGGUAGCAAGCACCGGCUGGGUGGAAAGCAGGGCUUUUAGCUCUGCAAACGCUGCAUCAGCUUCGGGAGUCCACUCGAACUUGUCUGACUUCUUCAUCAGUCGGUAAAGAGGUAAUGCCUUCUCACAGAGACGAGAGAUGAAUCGACUUAAAGCGGCCAAGCAACCAGUAAGCUUCUGAACAUCGUGCACACACAUAAGUCGUUUCAUUCGGAGUAUAGUGCCCACUUUCUCUGGAUUUGCGUUGAUUCCUCGUUCGGAAACGAGAAAACCGUGUAACUUUCCGCCAGGAACUCCGAAUGUGCACUUGGAUGGAUUAAGCUUGAUAUCAUACCUCCUGAGGUUGGCAAAUGUUUCAGCGAGGUUAGUCAGCAAGUCAGAACCUUUCCGUGACUUGACCACAAUGUCAUCCAUGUAUGCUUCCACAUUCCGACUGAUUUGAGUGAGCAAACACUUCUGAAUCAUCCUCAUGAACAUGGCUCCGGCAUUCUUGAGGCCGAAUGGCAUGGUGACAUAACAGAAGCACCCGAAUGGGGUGAUGAAAGCUGUUUUGAUCUCAUCGGGUCCAUACAGACGGAUCUGAUGGUACCCGGAAUAAGCGUCUAAGAAAGACAGUCGCUCGUCGAUGCGGGGGAGAGGAAAAUGAUCUUUCGGGCAGGCCCGAUUGAUAUGUUUAAAGUCAAUGAACAUGUGAAGUGACUUGUCCUUCUUGGGGACCAUGAAAACAUUGGCGAGCCACUCGGAGUGGUAAAUCUCUCGGAUAAACUCGGCUGCUAAGAGCCGAGCCACCUCUUCGCCAAUAGCCUUCCUUUUCUGGACGGCGGACUGUCGCAGAUGUUCCUUGAUAGGUUUUGCCUUUGAAUUGACUCGUAGACGGUGCUCAGCCAGCCCCCUGGGUACACCUGGCAUGUCAGAAGGUUUCCAUGCAAAGAUGUCCCAGUUCUCACGGAGGAACUGAUGAGCGCUUCUUCCUAUUUGGGGUCGAGUGUUGUGGAGAUAUUAGUAGGAGCAGCGUUGGGUCGGUCGGGUGGAUGUGAACUGGCUUUGUCUCACCGGACGACUGAAACGCUGAUUCCGUAGCGGGCUUCUUGGAUCGUAACAAAUCACUCGGGUCUGCAUUUCUCUGGUGUUCCUGCCACUCUUCUGCUACCAUCUGAGCAUCGGCGAUCUUUGAGCCUUUCUGAAAGCACUCUUCCGCCUUCUUGCGAUUACCAGUAACAAUGAUCACGCCUUUAGGGCCAGGCAUCUUCAAUUUGAGGUACACGUAACAUGGUCGAGCCAUAAAACGUGCAUAAGCUGGCCUGCCCAAAACGGCGUGAUAGGCACUUUGGAAAUCCACAACCUCAAAUGUCAACUUUUCUUUGCGGAAGUUUUUGGAAUCACCAAAAACCACAUCGAGAGCAAUCUGGCCGAGUGACGGGGCCUUCUUGCUAGGAAUGACUCCAUAGAAACUCAUGUUGCUUGUGCUGAGUCUGGACAUCGGAAUGCCCAUACCUUUGAGUGUCUCUGCGUACAGUAUAUUCAAACUACUGCCGCCAUCCAUCAACACUUUAGUCAGUCGAGUACCUUCGACAACUGGGUCGACCACCAGAGCUUGCCUCCCAGGGGUGGCUAUGUGCGUCGGGUGAUCAGACUGGUCGAAUGUGAUGGCCGUCUUAGACCACUUCAGAUAAUUGGGUGUCGCCGGAGCAACCAUAUUCACCUCUCGGUUUAUAACUUUCAGUCGACUUUUGCUCUCAACGUCAGCAAAAAUCACCAGAGUGGAAUUGACCUGAGGAUAUUCCUCGUCACUAUCCCCAUUGUCCUCAACUUUGUCCGACUCCUUUUCCUUAUCCUUGGACUGUUUCCCUUGGAACUGCUGUAUCAGGAGUCAACACUGUCGAGUGGUAUGCUUCGGGUAAAUGAAAUUACCCUCUUCAUCUUUCUUCGUGUGGAUAUGAUAUGGCAAAUCCAUCACGUCAUUUCCUUCUUUAUCCUUUACUUUAUUGGGGUUCCAAGGCCCUUUGGGCUUUCCUUUGAACUUUCCUUGAGUCACGGCCAAGGCUUCUCCAGGAGCAGCUGGUUCGGCUUUCCGCUUUUGCUUCCGACUGGCGUUCCCUCCUCCGGUUUCCUGGGCGACUGACUUGUGCUUGCCACUCCAGAGCCGAUCCUCUUCCUCACCAUUGGCAUAUUUGGUGGCUAUCUCCAUCAUUCGACUCAGAGACAUGUCUCCGGUUCGACCGAAUUUCAGGCUUAGCUCUCUAUACUUAACGCCUUCCUUGAAGGCGCAGACUGCCUGGUGAUCUGAUACAUUCUCUACCGUGUGAUGUAAUGUGAUCCAUCUCUGGAUGUAAUCUCUCAAAGUCUCAUUCGACUUCUGCACACAAGAUUGCAACUCUGUCAGUCCUGCUGGUCGCUUGCAUGUUCCUUCAAACGUUCUGACAAACACUCGGGAAAGAUCUUCCCACGUGUAAAUGCUGCUGGGUGUCAACUGAUUCAUGCUUUGGCUGAUCCCUCCAGCAUAAGAGGGAGAUGUUUCAUGGCCACCUCGUCAUUUCCGCCGCCGAUCUGGACAACCACUCGGUAGUCUUCAAGCCAAGUAUCAGGCUUAGACUCACCAAUGAACUUACUGACUCCAGUCGCCAACCUGAAGUUGGGAGGAAUCACUGCGGCCCUGAUGGCUCUGCUGAAACACUCUGGUCCUGAGACAUGCACUCGGCUGCUGGUGGGUACAUCUCUGUCGUGACCCUCUCUGUGAGCCCUGUUCCGGUCGACCAGACCUUGAACGAUGAUGGAUCUCGCAUCAAAGCCUGGUUCCCUGGGGUCGACUGGAAUCCUUCGCCCACCACUGUGCUGGCGUCUAUCAUCUUGCUGUCGAGGUGCGUAGGAUCCACCCCUUGGGGGAGGGGUGGGCACUCGACGUCGAUCAUCGCGAUCGAAUCGGUGAUCAUACUGCUCAUGGUUCUUGUACUGAUCGUGUCGGUCUCCACGCCCCUCACGCCUCGGGGGCGAUCUGGGGCUAUGAGCCGACUGGACCGUAUUCGCAGCCACGGAUCUGCUAUGAAUCCUGUUCCACGACUGUGAUAUAGCUGAAUUUUGAUCUCCUGCUGUCCGGAGCAAAUCUCUGAUCUGCAUCAAGCCUCUGCCAGCCUCUGACUGGGAAGGCUGAAUUGAUUCUGCUAUACGGGCUGCAGCUGCUAAAUUCUGAAUCGGAGUUUGAUAUACCUGAGUCGGAGGUGGAAAGAGCUGACGUCGACUGGAGUCCGGGACCAGUUGCCGCGCACGCUUGUUGAGUGCUCGCUGAAGGUUCUCCAGUCGAGUGCGCUCAGCCAGGUUGGCCAAGCGCGCGUCCUCUAGGUGCGAGCCUCAGGGGUUUCUCCAACGAUAGGAGUGUGAAGUGCAUCCAUGUUCUGGCAGCGAAGUUCUUCCCUCUGCAGCGAAUUGAGGGGCUCGGGGAGGUAUUCCUCAUGGGCGUGCGAUGGAUCGCCUCCGCCAUCACCUCCAUCGGCGCCGGGAAAGCCGGGGGGACCGUGUGGUCCAUUGACCAUCAGGACCUCCGCCGCUGGAUCACUGCUGUCGCACUCGGAUGCAGUCUCUGCGGAGCUAGUCGACAUGUCGAAUAGGCCAUAGAGAGAUUCAUCGGGCUCGAUUGUCGUGAAUUGGGCGGUGGUCGACUGGCGAGCCGCUGCGUGCCCCACCCACCGCUGAAGCCUCGACCGAACGGAGCGUUUGCGUCGGUGGGAAGCUGGAAGGGAGGAUGACACAAAAACCGGUCGAUACUGGGAAGACGGUUGCCGCAGGAGGACGCCGUGGACGCACGCGUGAAAGUGCGUCGCUCCGCGGACUGGGAGCGCAUCGACGUCGAGCAGAGCCUCCUGAAGCCAGGCAAAGUCGUCGGCGACGAACUUGAGCGCGCCGAGACGGAUCUCGCGGCCCUCAACCAAAACUCCGCCUGAAACCAUGAUGAAGGAGAUCGGAAAAAAUUGCAACUUCUCCAAUAAGUCGCUAAGACACCUGCCCCAAGGUGGGCGCCAACUGUCGUGGUUCUAAGUCUAAUAGUAGUGUAGGGGGGUACUAAGGGAGAGGCAAGAUCUUAGCAAUGGAGUAGUUGUACACGCAAGAGUUUUACGAGUUCAGGCCCUUCUCGGAAGAAGUAACAGCCCUAUGUCUCAGAGCCCGGAGGCGACCGACUGGAUUGUAUGCGUAUGAGUUACAGGGGUGCGAACCCUUUACACUGAGGAGGGGGGUGGCUUAUAUAGAGUUCACCAGACCCCUCCAGCCCUCAGUUAUGCAGGGUUUAAAGUACAUUAAGAUCGGGGGUUAUUGGUAACGCCCACAUAAAGUGCUAUGAAGACCAUAAAAGCUACUUAAUGACAGACCGUUGCGUGCAGAGUGACUUUAGAUCUCCUGGCCAUCGAGUGGUCAGCUUCAUGGUCGAGUGGUUAUCUUCAUGGUCGACUGUCCUCGAGUCUGUCGAGUGGAACACCUCUAGGUCGACUGACAGGUGGUUUCUUCUAGAGAUGUCCUUGGGUAGGGUAGUUUGGACAGGUCCAUGACCCUACCCUAGGUACAUAGCUUCAUCAGGUAUUACCCAUACCCGUCCGGGUACGGGUAUGGGAAAGAUAUGAAACCCAGGGUGCGGGUACGGGUACGGGUACGAGUUUGGGCAAGAAAAAAUGGGACGGGUGAGGGUUUGGGCAAGCAUUACCCGCACCCGAACCUUGCGGGUGCCAUGAGGAGCUACACGUUGAGGCCGAUGGCGGCGACCUGGAGGAAGCUGAAGGCCACACCUAUGUAGAAGGCGAGCACCACAGCACUGUCGAGCUAGACGAGCGUCCUGAUGAGCUUGGUGGCGCCGAUGGCUGCCCUGAAGUUGAGCAACUCGGAGUGGGUGACUACGACGAGCAUGAAAGAACGUUGGGGGAUGUCCAUCCGGCAGUUGGAGAAGCCCAUGUUCAUGAGGCUCCCUGCCGUCUAAUAUGAUAAAGAGAAAUGUGGUUUAUCUGGUUGAAACAAUACAAGUUAUCAGUCGAAACAAAUACAAGUUAUUGCGCUGGCACGUCAUAAAUUAUCAUGCUAAAAUGAAGUUACCAUGCAAAAAAAUAGAAUGAGUUAAACAUGUUGACAAAGUGUGAGUUAAACGUGGUGACACUUCAUAGUUACCAAGCUGGCAUAUUAAGUUAUCAGGCUCAGCUUGCAUAACUAAUCGGGUUGAAAGUAAAAGAAUGUUGAAAACAUAUUGAAUUAAAUAUGUUGACACGGUAUAAUUUAUCAGGCUCAAUUUGCAUAAUUAAUCGGUUUGAAAGUAAAAAGAAAUGUUGAAAGCAGAUCGCAAAUAUGCUGACACAGUAUAAUUUAUCAGCCUAAAACAAUAUGAACUAUCAGUUAGAAAUUAUUCAAGUUACCAUGUUGAGAAAAUAGAAUGAGUUAAAUAGGCUAACAAAGUGGUUCUUAUCAUGUUGACACACUAGAAUUUAUUCAGGCCGACAUACUAUAAAUUAUCAGGUUCAAGCUGCAUAAGUCAUCAAGUCAAAGUAAAACAUGAGUGUUGAAACCAGUUAGAGUUAAACAUUUUGAUACAUCCAAGUUAUCAGGCUGACAUAUUCUAACUUAACUUAUCAGCUCAAGUUGUGUAAGUUAUUUGGUUAAAGUAAAAAAAUAAGUAUUCAAAGCGGUCCGAAUUAAACUGAUGGCACGAUAUAAUCUAUAAGGCUAAAUCAAUAUGAAUUAUCAGGUAGAAACAAUUAAAGUUACUAUGUUGAAAAAACAAAAUGAUUUAAACAGGUUAGCAAAGUGAGUGUUGUCAUGCUGACAACCUAGAAGUGACCAAACUGACAUAGUGUAAGUUACCGAGAUGCAUAAGGUUCAGACAUUAGACUUCCUCUGAACGAAAUACUCCUCAUGCCAAGUGGUGUCAAGGCCAAGAACAGAAGGAAACUUAAGUACCUGAAUGGUUAGAUCGAGAUCAAUGGCGCCAUGUUUGUGCUGCUCUCGGAAGGUCUCGAAGCCCUUUCACGAUAUGUAGUUGAACCGGUGCACGUCGAUAUCAAUCUCAAGUUAGUUCAAUCCCUACAUCAUAAUAAGUAGACAUAUAUGCACAUGUUUCAAUCAGGAUUAGGAUGCGUCAAGAAAUAUAUGAAUUUUAGCAUGUUGAUGGAAAUGUGAGGAAGCAUAAAUGGUCAGUAUAGUGUAACGCCCCGAGACCGAUGCUCCAGUUGCCUUCCAUUUACUUUAGUGGUUGCCAUGUGUUUUUUUGUGUUUGUUGCGUUAUCAUAAUUGUUUUGCAUAUUUCAUUCCUAUAUGUCUAUGCCAUGAUUAUGUUGAGUGCCUUGUCAUAUAUUUGCUUCUUGCACCAUGCUUAUCGCACUUGUUAUGUUGCAUUAUACCCUUGUCAUUUUGCAUUUCAUCAUGCUCAUCUUGUGGGUUGCAUUCUUCAUGUUGUGUGUGUAUCAGCCCUUGCUAUCUUUCUCAAGCCAUAUGCCCACGUAUCAUCAUCUCUCCCUUCCUUCUUCCUUCAUGCUUUUGCAAGUGACAUUAUUCCCUCCUCCAUUAAUGUUCAUUUAUUUCCUGGUGAUCUUACUCAAUUCCUUAUACCUCUAUGUCAAAUUUUAUCUCAUUUGGAGUUGAUUUGGUUGGGUUCAAAAAUGGCUCAAGUUUGAAUUUAAUUCAAACUUGUUUUAUUUUUCUACCUCUAAAAAUGCCCAAAGAAAUUUAUUCAAAUUCUACAAAAAUCCAUAAUCCCAUAUAUGUUUUUAUCUCAUCCUAAUUCCUUGCCAAACUCCUUGGCCUUUUCUUGCAUUUCCGUUUGAAGAAAUUGCUUAAAGGAAAAGAGCCCGGUGCAGCAGCAACCUGGCCCAGCUCCAGCGCCUCCCGCAGCCCAGCUCUCCUCCCGCAGCCUCCUUCCACUCUCCCGUGGUGAAUCCACGCUGGACACCCGUCCAGGCCCCACCUGCAGCCUCUCCUUCCCCUGUUUUUCUUCCUCCUCCCGAUCUCUUUUCUCUCACAGUAAAACCUCCAGGGGUGCCCGCACAUGGCCACCAUGGCCGAGCUCACGUUGCGCUCCUCCUAUAAAGCUAGCAUCCCACGCCCCCAGGGUUUCCCUCUUGCCACCGCCACCGUUUCCCUUCUCCUGCUUCUCCUUCUUCUUCAAGAGGCAGAAACCAGAGAGCUCCCGACGCACUCCCAUGGCUUCGCUGCGGCCAUAGCCAUCCUCCAUCGUCUUUUUCGCUCCGGGUCGACUCGACUACGUCGUAUUCUUCGUCUUCUUCAAGGCCAGGAGCCAUGAGGGACCAGGGCCGAUGCGAUCGACUCCCUCCACGACGGCAUCUUCCCUGCUUCCUCUUCUACACGGAGCCGAACGCCUCCAUGAUCACCGCCUCUGCAUCGUUUGCGAGGCCUCCUCAAUCGUCAUCUUCUUCACCCUCGCUCGUAACCACAAGGACUCCGGCGCUUCCUCCCCGAUGUUCUCUUCAUCGCCGUGGAACGCCAAGACGCUGUCGCGUUCAUCUCCUUCUUCUUUGGGUCUGGGACAUCGCCGUCGGAAUUUUUCGCCGCCCGUCGUCCCCGAGCUCGAUCGACUCCACCAACCAACCCUACAUGAGCGUCCACACCUCCCCAUCAGCUUCCCCCUUUGAUUGCGCCCUAUUUCGUCCAUCUACGUUGAGCUCGAGCGCUCCUUCGUCGGACCUCGUCGCCGGCGAGUGUUUCGACCUCUCUUCGUUGCCAAUUCCUUCGUCCAGCGCUCCGUGUUUGUCCUUGGUUCGUCAGGUCCGAGAUCAUCCGCUGCUCUCUAUGCACAGUGCAGGCACCUCCCCUGCAAAUCCCGCCGCUGCACGCGCACGCCUUGCUUCGCCCCUGCAUCGCCGCGCAACGCCAUGGCCGCGAGCAUCAAGCUCACGCACCCCACCGCGGAACCCCGUCGUCGGCGAGGAAUCCAUUCACUUCCCGUUGCAUGCUGGGUAUGGAUGGGUUCGCCCCGUUGCCUAGCUUCCAUCCGCGCCCUCCGCCACGUGUUUUGGUUGCCGGAACAGCUCCAACGAGCUCCUCCGCCGUCCAAUGUCCCCAGUGCUACCUCCUCUGUCUUUCUCUGCUUCUGCACGCACACAACACCGGCGAGCGGCAGCUGUUCGUCCACGCCUUGCGCAUCCACCCACACCCUCGCGUCGUUGCUCCACCACACACACCUUGGCACGUUUCCGCACCCCCGCCGGUCCUCUGCAACCACAGCAAGGGUUGCUGUUGGCUCCCGUCGCCGGCGAGUCCCCGUGCGCGUGCUUCGGUUUUGGUCCUGGUCACGAUGCGCGGAUGCGUUAUGUUCAGUCGAUCUCCAUUUGCAUCACGAACACAUAGCUAGCCCAGUGGCUAGCGCAGCCAGUAUCCAUCCGAGGGGUCUAGGGUUCGAUUCCCAGCCGCUUCAAUUUUGCCCUGUUUUUCUUUACUGUUGCACACCCACACCCACAUCCAGUGCUGCUUCGGGCCCGUGCAUAUUUUUUUUCCAGUCUGUGUAUUUUAGCAUUUUCCAAUGCAUUCUUAUUUAUUGAAAUGCCAUCAUCUUGCAUUGCUCAUAUAUAAAUAACCAUGCUUUGGAUUUAAACAAACUAUAUAUGCAAAAUGCUUAGAAUUUCAUGUACUUUCACAAUUGGCAACUUUCAUCCAUGUUUAAAAUGUUUAAACUUGUUGUUUGUAUUAUUUUUGCUCGAAUGACAUGUUAAAAUGGUUUUUUUCAUAACUAAAUAACCGUAGCUCGGAAUUAAAUGUUCUUUAUAUGUAAAUGGGGCAUAAAAAUGCAUAGAUUAACUUGUUGCACUUUAUUUUUCUGUCUAACAACACUAAAAUUGUGCUUAGGGCAGAACAGUAGCAAAUCCAAAAUAUGCAUAUGGGAUUUUCCGAAAUUGUUGUUUGUUGUUCCGGCCUAAUUUAAACUUGUCUAGAUAGGUAGUUUGUUAUGCUUCACCUCUUGCCAUGUUAACAACAUUUAAUCUUGUCAUGCGUCAUACUUGGUUGAGCAUCAUGCCAUGUCUAUGUGUUGUGUGUUUACCGUGUGUUUGAUUCUUUCCGGUUGUGCUCCUUCUCGUUAGUUCCUGUUUCAUUGCGAUCGUGAGGAUUCGUUCGUCUACGCUUGGUUUGUCUUCGUGGCUCCAUCUUCUUCAUGGACUCAUUCUUCUUCCUUGCGGGAUUUCAGGCAAGAUGACCGUCACCUUGGAUCUCAUUACUAUCAUUGCUAUGCUAGUUGCUUCGUUUUAUCGCUUUGCUGCGCUACCUAUCACUUGUUCUUCAAGCCUCCCAAAUUGCCAUAUCAGCCUCUAACCUUUUUCACCCUUCCUAGCAAACCGUUGUUUGGCUAUGUUACCGCUUUUGCUCAGCCCCUCUUAUAGCAUUGUUAGUUGCAGGUGAAGUUGAAGAUUGCUCCAUGGUGGACAGGAUUAUGUUGGGAUAUCACAAUAUCUCUUAUUUAAUUAAUGCAUAUAUAUACUUGGUAAAGGGUGGAAGACUCGGCCUUAUGCAUGGUGUUUUGUUCCACUCUUGCCUCCCUAGUUUUCGUCAUAUCGGUAUUAUGUUCCCGGAUUUUGCGUUCCUUACGCGGUUGGGUGAUUUAUGGGACCCCCUUGAUAGUUCGCUUUUAAUAAAACUCCUCCAGCAAGGCCCAACCUUGGUUUUACCAUUUGCCUCACCACCACCUAUACCUUUCCCUUGGGUCGGCCAACCCGAGGGUCAUCUUUAUUUUACCCCCCCGGGCCAGUGCUUCUCUAAGUGCUGGUCCGAACCGAGCUGCCUGCGGGGCCACCUCGGGGAAACUUGAGGUCUGGUUUUACUUGUAGCUAGUCUCAUCCGGUGUUGCCCUUGGAACGACAUAUGUGCAGCUCCUAUCGGGAUUGUCGGCACAUCGGGUGGCUUUGCUGGUCUUGUUUUACCAUUGUCGAAAUGUCUUGUAAACCAGGAUUCGAGACUGAUUGGGUCUUCCUGGGAGAAGGUAUAUCCUUCGCUGACCGUGAGGGCUUGUGAUGGGCUAAGUUGGGACACCCCUGCAGGGUAUAAACUUUCGAGAGCCGUGCCCGCGGUUAUGUGGCACAUGGGAAUUUGUUAAUGUCCGAUUGUAGAUAACUUGACACCAGAUUCGAAUUAAAACGCAUCAACCACGUGUGUAGCCGUGAUGGUCUCUUUUCGACGGAGUCCGGGAAGUGAAGACGGUUUUGGGUUAUGUUUGACGUAAGUAGGAGUUCAGGAUCACCUCUUGAUCAUUGCUAGCUUCUCGACCAUUCCGUUUGCUCUCUUCUCGCUCUCGUUUGCGUAUGUUAGCCACCAUAUAUGCUUAGUCGCUGUUGCAACCUCACCACUUUACCCCUUCCUUUCCCAUUAAUCUUUUCUAGUCUUGAUACCCAUGGUUAUGGGAUUGCUAAGUCCUCGUGGCUCAAAGAUUACUACAACAACAGUUGCAGGUGCAGGUUAUGCGAUGAUCAUGACGCGAGAGCGAUGCUUGCUUGUUUUGGAGUUCUUCUUCUGCUUCUUCUUCGAUCAGGGGAUAGGUUCCAGGUCAGCAGCCUGGGCUAGCAGGGUGGAUGUCGUUUGAGCUUCUGUUUGUGUUUCAUCCGUAGUCGGAUGUUGAUCUUAUGUAUGUUGUAUUGUUGUACUCUUGUGGCAUUUGUAUGCCUUGUAUGUAUCCCCAUCUAUUAUGUAAUGUUGAUGUAAUGAUAUCCACCUUGCAAAAGCGUUUCAAUAUGCGGUUCUAUCCUUGGUGGGACCUUCGAGUCUCUUUAGGAUAGUAUCGCAUAUUGGGUGUGACAUAUAGCUUGUAGAAUUUGUGCUGGGGUAUAGACAACACUGGCUUCUGGUUGUAGGUCCCCUGUCUGCAUAAGCCUCCCAUCGGCUGCACUAAGCUGCUCGUCUUGGGGUUCACAAUGUCCAUAGAAUUUUUAGCCUCUCUGUGUAGGGCACGUUGUUGUCCACCGGGAACCCCUUGACCUUCUCCAUUUCCUCAUUCAUAACACUCCGCAUAACUAAUUACUUACUAGAAACUUGUCUGAGGCACUAAAAAUGUUUAGCUUAUGAGAUGCAAUCAAUUUGGUUCACCUUGAUGAUGUCCUUGACCUGAGGAUAAAUCUCCAUGUCGAAGCUAUCAGAUAUCUUGACCAGGAUUACGCCUUCACUGUCAUUCUCGCCAAACAUGGUAGUAGAAUAGGUAGGCAACUGCACAUAUCAGUAACUUGGUAAGUUUCAGAUCUAACAAAUCAAUACUGCUUAGGUAAAUAGUUCACGAUGUUCGCAACUACCACAAGUAACACAAUCCAUACAGAACAAGGUGAGCAAUGUGGAGAAAUGUUAGAUGAAACAGAGCUUUCAGAUGGCCGAGGGGACUGACUCACCACCCACCAAGUCGGUUCGGCAGAGCCUUGCCGGCACGGUGACCACCACCACUAGCAGGAGCAACACCGCCCGUCGUGCCCAUUCUAUCCAUGGGCCAGUCCACGACGGACACCGGACAGAGUCCGCGUCAGCUGGCUAGUCACUGGUGCUGGUUGGCUCGCGGCGGCACGCAGGAGGUAGAGGGGACGUUGCGCGAUGUCCUGGUGUGAGUAGGGGGGAGGGGGAGUGUGGGCGGAGGGGGGAGGCAGAAGUAGGAGCCUCCGUCGGCGGUGGCGCGCUAGUGGGGGAGAGACCAUGGUGGCGCGCGAGCUCGCCAGCGGCUGGGAUGGGGAUCGGAGCGAGGUUGGGGGAGAGAGGGAAUCAAUAUUGGUUUUCUCGUGAGGGUGGGCUUCGAUCUGUUUGGUGUUUUAUUUUCUGCGUACCACUUCGAUCACAUGAUCGUGAUCCGACGUCUUCCAACCGGUGUGGCAGUUUUGCAAAAAAGAUUUGAGUUGCCACAUAUAUAUGCUCACUCUCUUGAGAAGCUGACAGGUUGCGUGAGAAAGCAGGGCCAAAGAGCAAAGGCGGGCCGACAGGUGCAUGAAAAGCCAGAGUAUAUGCCGGCACCAUCAUCCUCUCCUCGCCCAUGGCUGCUUGGAAAAUCAUGUAAAUUCGUGGGGGGAAACGAUGGCAGUCGUCGGUCCGGAGCCCGUGCCCGUGAUUAACGGUUUGUCUACAACUAAUGCCUAAGAGCAUGGCUAAUAGAAGAGCCUGCUGAUGGCUGUAUACGGGUGCCACAUCAUCCAAAGGCUUGAUAAAAGACUACUAGUAUAAUAAGCUGGCUGUAGGCUGGCUAUUAGAUGGACUAUACUAUUCAAUGUUUAAAUGCAAAGAGGGUCAAACAGACGCACAUGAUUGGCAGGAAGGACGGAGUGCUUGCAUUUAGCACUCACGCCGGCUACAUGCUGGCUGUAUUGCAUCGGAGAUUGAGCUGCAGCUGGGCGGUACACGGAGCGCCGGCUCUUCUCUCUCUCUUCGUUUCUCACUCCUCCAGCAAGGAUUUCACUGACAUGUAAAACCUUAGGCUGGUCACAAUGGGCAAGAGCAUAAGCUAGUAACUUCACACUUUCCUAGACUAUGUUACUACCACCAUAGUGGGUAGGAACAUUUAUGUAGUGUCAUGCAACGAUGUAUUUAUUAGGUUAUAGACUCAUUAUUUUUUGAAGUGUGUGAUGUUCCGGUAACUUAGCUAGUUACCACAAGCACCUCUCUCUUCAUUAAAUACGUGCCACAUAAGUAAAAUUGUAUUGGAGUGUGUGAUGUUACUCCUAAGUUCCUCCCCACUGUGACCAGCCUUAUAGCCAGCUGACUAGACUUAUUAUACUUGCUCUAACAGGUGGUAGGUCGAGAGGUUUUUUUUUUGCAUCGUAGGUCUAGAGGGUUUGUUUACAGAGGUCGAUGCAUUACUACCGGCGUACGUACUACUACGUACUAGAACAGCGUGCUCGCUUUCGUGCUGCUGCGCUCGGUCUGGUUCCUCGUCCAACCUGGCCUAUGUUAUUUUCGACUGCAAACUCUCCAACCAGCAGGAGACAGUUGAAACAUUACUACGAUCCUGCAGGAGACAGUUACCGGCUACGACCUGGACGAUGAGUCGAUGAACCUGCGCCAGACGCCAGCAAACGAGUAAACAAAUUAAUAGCCGAGCCAAAACUUCCAGCCGGUCUGAUAAAUGGCCAUGGUGGACCUGUCUACACCCGGUCAGAAAACAAUACUACUACCACUACUACUUCCGAACACGCGUGAAAUCAGCCUUUCGCGACAGAUUGCCGUGCCUCUCACUCCUGGGAUCAUAUCAACGGAAGCGACCGGUCGGUCGUAUCUACUCAAGAUCGUGGUACUGUACUAGUACGUGGUUGAUCUGCGCUACGCUAGCUAGCUUCACCGUUCCAAUAUUCUCCUCCUAUUCUCUCAAAAGGCGAUGGCGACCGCGCCACGAACCGCGAGCACGCCGGCCGCCGGGGAGCCUCGAAAGUCGCGCGUCGCUCUCGCGGGUGACCGACAGACUUUGAAUAUCUGCUGGUACAUGCCGUGGGGACGAGACUUGCCUGCUUCCCGUGUGUGCGUUCAUUCGUGCUCCCGCGUACGUGACUUGAUUUGAUUGGAACAAAAUAAGGCUCGGUCCCACCCCCUUAAAAUCAGGAAAAGAGAUGAUCAAAUUAAAAAGAAAAAGAGACAGCCGUAGAAUGAAGUGGGAGCACGGAUGGGAAUAUGAAGAGGAAGCAGGCCGUGGUACGGAAGGGACACGCCAAAGAAAAAAUAAAUGCGAUGUUCCAUUUUACCACCACUUGAAACGAGUGGUAGAAGCAGCUUUGAGAUGGCACGAUAAGCUUGUUUAGCGAGUUUAGUGGAUCUUCCAAUGGAAAAUCAAAGAGGGCAUGAAGCUGGAGUCAAAAGUACGUAGGAGCAUCUCACGGCCAUUCUCGGUAGACAAUGACGAGCCGGUGGUCGAUCGUGCGAGUGACAGGACGCAAAGCGGGCAUCCGGCCGGCGGCCGCGACGAGAGGCCACAGGAAAAAUUGUACUUGCGGCGUCAGGAUACACGACGGCCCGUUAUUCCGGACUGUGCGUACGGUACCGGGCCCAGGUGGGUGGGUUUCAUGACACUUCGCUGAUUGUGUAUUAUUUUUUUAACAUCAAUACAGACGCAAGCGCUCAUACACACGCGCAUAUACUCAUUCCCAUGAACGCACACACGUAUAUCCUAUUUUUAUGAGCACUUUCGAAAGACUGAGCCGACAUAUCAUCUUGAAAUUUGCAAAGUCACCAUAGGCGCCUCGUCGUCGACGGGAACGUCUCCUCCCACUGAAUGCGCAUCGCCGAAAAUUCUGAAAUAAAUUCAGGAAUAAAUGCGAGCAUCAGGACUUGAACCCUGAUGGACUGGAAAAACUACGGUCCCUUUAACCAUCCAACCAUAAGUUGGUUCGCUGUUCGCUGAUUGUGUAGAUAGAUAGAUCCUGAGGUUGUGCUUGUCCGCUUCUUUUUCCUUCUCCGUUUCAUUGCCUCAGUCUAGUCGGAAACGGCAGCAUCCAUCGCACAACACUCAUGUGGGCGGUGCAAAAGAAAAAGAUACUACCUCUGUCUCGGUGUAUAAGUCAUUCGCGUUGUUCUAGGUUGACAAUUUAACUAUCUAAAUAUAUAUUAUAUGUAACAAAACAUAUAUAUUUAAAAACUACACCCGUGUAGAAAUCUAGUGAUAUAUUUUUCAUGACGUAUAACACAUAUUUAAUUCAUCAAGCCAAUGACCUAAAACUAUGCGAAUGACUUAUACACCUAGACAGAGGGAGUAACUCUCGGUCGACAAGUAUUGAUGCUGCACACGCGGCACGCAGUAACCGCGGCAUGCAUGAUGGCGAUGCAGUAUUGCAGUCGAUAUGCUCCAGCUAGCUAGACAUCCAUGCAGGCAGGAAAGCACGCACGUACGUAUACGUGUUACGAGCGCAUGCGUUGGUCGGAAGGUAACUAUAUGCCGUAUGAUCAGAUUGAGACAGAUCCCCCCCCCCUCUCCCUCGCGCUGCCCUCCCCAGGGCGGCCCGAGGGCGUCUAGGGUUUCCUCGGUGCCGCCCCUCUCCAUCCUCCCUCCCUCCCUUGCCGUCACCCGAGGCGGCCGCCGGGCAGCGCCUGUGCGGCUGCCGAGGACGGUGGCGGCAAGGUCUCCGUCGCUUCUCUCACGAGAAGGACUCCGGAUCCAGGGCGGCGGCCCUUGGCGGCGAGGCGGCGCCGUCUCCGGCUAGCGGCGUGCGCGGGAGGUGCGGGCCGGCUUCCUCGGCUGCUCGGGCGGCGAGGAGCAGGCGGAUUGCGGCCGUGGGGCGGCAAGGUUCCCGUCCUCCGCUCCAGAUCUGAAGGUCAGACUUCCCCUCUCUGCUUCUUCCUCCGCUGGCGCGUUCGAUUUGGGGCCUCUGGCCGCUGGAUCCGGUGCCGGCGGGGUGCUCCCCAAACUGGUGGUGUGGGAAGAGCCCGGGGGAAACCCCUGUUUGGUUUGUGCUAGCACGGCGGCGGCGGCGCCUUUUUGGCGUCGUUCUACUCCCUGGAGUCGCCGUUGUGGGCUCCCCUCCACACCCCGGCCAAUCUUCUCGGGCGAAAGCUCGAAUCCCGGCUGGAUGGGCGGCGGUGGCGUCAGGUGCGUCGUGUCCUCCUUGGAGGCGCCGCCUGGGGAAGAUUGGUGCUUUGGGGUUGUGUGCAGCAGUGUGUAGGUGGGCGGCUGGUGUCUAUCGAGUCUCUGUGGCUCCGUAGCUUCUUCAUUUCGGCAACUCUUCCGGCGGCUUUCCCUCUACUUUUGGCGUCCUUCGAUGGCUGCGGUGUUGCUGAUGUGCGUGUGCAACGUCUUGUGGUCGUGCUCCGUGGCUGGCCCAGACUCGAGACCAACCAUUGCUCUAGCUCUCGGGGUGAGCGUCUCUACAUUCGACGGUGCGGCGCCUUCGAGCCUAGGUGAGGGGAAGGGAUCCCCUUCGAUGUUAGAGAGGGCAGGUGUUGGGUCAUCUCCUCUGCUGGUUUUCCAGUCCUGUGUUCGAUUCCUCUGCCGGUUGCUGAUCCUCGAGGCUUCACUCGUAGUCGUUUUGGUGCCUUGCUGUAGUGGGCUUAUCCUCAACUAAGCAGUUCUUAAUAGUUAAUUUUGUGUUUGCUGGUUGUAGGUGUAGCGUUGUAAGCUGUUCUUGCAGCCCCCUUUUAUCGUUUGGCCGUUGUUGUGUGGUGAUCUUGUUCCUGUAAUUCUGGCCAGUUGAUGGCUUUGUUAAUUUAAAACCGCGCUCUUUCUUAAGCCUUCGUUCUAAAAAAAUUAUAUGCCGUACGGGCAAAACUACGUGCAUGAGAAGCUUCCGGUGGGUGAGCAUGCAUGGGUCACCAUGUCGAUCGGGGAGGAUACGCAUAGACAACACCAUCGACUUGGAUGGAGCCGCCGAUCUCAAGUCAUUGAUUGGUGUCCAUGCGUCGUGGCUACGGGGUAGAGAUGAAUUUAAUCGACAAUCGACAUGGUACGACUUGUCAUUUGUCAGGUCUCAAUGAGCUUCAUCAACUAGAGUAGCGGUUGGGAGUGAGACAAACUCACAACCACCGACGUUUGAACAGUAGAUGGCACUUGUGAAACUUAUUUCAACAAUCCAUCUUCUUUUGAGAAAACUAUAGAGCGUAGUAUCGCGCUCACGGGAGUUCAUGCCCCUGAACGGGCCAUUCAUGCAAAUCUUUCACGGUUUGUUUAGUCAGACAUUCAAGGAUGUAGGGUUCACGGGUCUAUCAUUGUCCACUCUCCAGCUAGGCUUUUUGCUCGAUCGGUGACAGGGCCGGGUCCUCCUUCCGUACGCCGUACACGCCGGACUACGGAGCCGGCACGGCCAGCCGGUGUGUGGGCACCGGCAGCGGCAAGGAAAAACUAUCUAGUUCCAGCGCCAGCAAAACCCAACAUGGUAUAUCAAUUGCCGUUCAGGACUUGAUCAAUCCAGCCUAUAAGAAGAGCCUCAAAUUUGUUCUUGAUUUUGUGCUUGAGCAGCAGGAGAUCAUUUAAAAAAAAUUGAGACCAACUCAAGGGCUAACCCUCGUUGGCAUUUUUUUAUAGAAGAAACUCCGCGAAUACCACGCGUUCAAACCGGGACUUGAAUUUGGGUGGGCUGGCAGCAACCUCAGCUGCCCAGCCAAAGGAUCGACGCCCCGUGCAGGAGAUCAUUUCUCAACAUGCUUUUUCAUCACUGAAGCGAAAAAGGUUUGGAUUCCAGCAUCCCAUCAUUAUGAUUUCCGUAGCAAUGGAGGUUGGUAGUGUUGGGGAUACACAUAAUAGGUAAGCCCACGAAGGGUCGAAAUAUCAUACUCCAUGGGGUCCAUCCAACAUGUGGGUCAAGAUAAACCUCAUACAUUUUACUAUCCACUCGGACAAGCAGCAUACUAUCCACUCGACCAAGCAGCAUACCAUCCACUCGGAUGAUAGUUCACCACUCGACCGUACGACUCACUCGGGUAUAUGAAGACUAGCAGACAACAAAGCAGUCGGCAUCAUUCUCAUAGUGAAGGCUUGAUAGUGGGCUGACAUUAUGACAUCCAUGCCCCACUUUGUAACAUAGGAGGUGAGAAGGUGACACACUCUAUAUAAGCCACCCUCACCACUAGACUUGGGGCCCCAUUCUUUCCCCUCUCUCUCUUCCUCACCAUUUAGCUCAGGCAUGAAGGUCCGUUCUCCCCUCUCUCUCAAAUACACCAUGUGACUCCGUGUUCAUGGCAGAUAAAAGAAAGCCUCUCCGGAGCACGAGACAUAGGGUCAUUAUCUCUAUCGUGAGAGACUCGAACUCACUAAAAGCACCGUGUCACCCGUUUGCAUCUCGAUAGAUCAUCCUCCUUUACCCUAUUCCUUUCUAUUGUCGGAAUCGUUCGCACGACAGUUGACGUCCACCGUGGGGCAUGGCGUCUAUCGAACCAUGAUGCGGACGGUUUGUAUCCAUUCCUACAUCUAUUCCCUAUUUUACUUGUGAUGCCUCUUACCUUUGCCAAGAACAGGAUCGUCUUUGGCCUCCUAUGUGAACGCCGUGACCGCUAUUCCACGCAUGAUUUCCGCAUGUGCGGAUGAAGGGGCGAGGAGACCAGCCCCGUCCGACUCCCGAAGCGGUGAAAUGCUCUGCCGCACCUAGCACCGUGCACGCUUGUCGCCCCGCGACGCACUCGCUUCCCAGCGCUGCGCUCGCCCGUCCCGCGACACACUCGCCGGCCCAGCGCUACGCUCGCUGGCCCCGUGCCACGUUUGCCACCCCAUGACGCGCUCGCCGGCCCUUGCUUACAUCGCCGACAGCGCAUGCUACGCAGCCACCUGCAUCUCCUUCGUCUGCGUCAUCUACAUCAAAGGUAUGUAGCUCACUAUCCCGAGCGCAUAACGAGCGCCUCAUAAUCCUUUGUUAAUUUAAUCGCCUAAUUAAGUGGUUAAUUAACAAAGCUCAUUAGGCGGCUCAUUAAGCGGUUAAUUACUGCACCAAAUUAAGCGGCUCAUUAAGCGGUUAAUUACUGUAGCUCAUUAAGCAAUUAAUUACUGCAGCCAAAACUUCCGCGGUUCCUACAUCAGUUAAUUGUGCAUGCAUGCAUACCCAUCCCUGAUCUUUAAUCCUUGCAAAAUAGCAUCCGUGCAGGGACACUUUAGUACAGCAAAACAAUAUUCGUGGUUAUACUUGCUACUAACCUGCAGGGUCACUCGUACGUCAUGGUCCUUGGACAGCAGUUUCACUCGUGCAGACGUUUUGUUUCGAGCGACUAACACGACAUGCGGGUUAACUCGGAUGAAAUUUGCGUUCAGACGACUAAUGUGCAGUGACUCGGCCACCCUGCAUGCCGUCACUCUAUUGGACACAUCUUCAUCAACUUACCUGACUCGACCGCUUCGUGCGUCGCCACUUGACCGUGCGCGCAUUGUCGACACUCGGAUGCCCCGUAUAUCGCUACUCCGCGGAACGCGCGUCUACAUCACUCAGACGCCCCACGCAUUGUCACUCCGCGAAACACGCGUCUACAUCAUUUGGACGCACCGCACCUCGCCACUUCGCGGGACGCAUCUACUUCACUCGGACGCUCCGCAAAUCGUCACUCCACGGGACGCGUCUACUUCAAUCGGACGCCCCGCGCAUCGCCACUUCGCGGGACGCGUCACGGGACGCGUCUACUAAACUCGGACGCUCCGCGCAUCGUCACUCCGCCGGACGCGUCUAAUUCACUCAGACGCCCCGCGCAUCGCCACUCCGCGGGACGCGUCGCAGGAUGNNNNNNNNNNNNNNNNNNNNNNNNNNNNNNNNNNNNNNNNNNNNNNNNNNNNNNNNNNNNNNNNNNNNNNNNNNNNNNNNNNNNNNNNNNNNNNNNNNNNNNNNNNNNNNNNNNNNNNNNNNNNNNNNNNNNNNNNNNNNNNNNNNNNNNNNNNNNNNNNNNNNNNNNNNNNNNNNNNNNNNNNNNNNNNNNNNNNNNNNNNNNNNNNNNNNNNNNNNNNNNNNNNNNNNNNNNNNNNNNNNNNNNNNNNNNNNNNNNNNNNNNNNNNNNNNNNNNNNNNNNNNNNNNNNNNNNNNNNNNNNNNNNNNNNNNNNNNNNNNNNNNNNNNNNNNNNNNNNNNNNNNNNNNNNNNNNNNNNNNNNNNNNNNNNNNNNNNNNNNNNNNNNNNNNNNNNNNCUCGGCUGCCCCGCCCGUCGCCAUCGGUUGGUCACCUCAUCACCUCUCGGCCGCCUCGUGCGUCGCCAUCGGUUGGUCACUUCAUCACCACUCGGCCGCCCCGCGCGUCGCCGUCGGUGGUCACCUCAUCACCACUCGGCCGCCCCGCGCGUCGCCAUCGGUUGUCACCUCAUCACCACUCGGCCGUCCCGUGCGUCGCCACUCGGUUGGUCACCUCAUCGCCACUCGGCCGCCCCGCGCGCCGCCUCUCGGUUGGUCACCUCAUCACCACUCGGCCACUCGCGCGCGUUCAGACAACUAAGUCAUUCUACAUGCAUUACAUUCUGUUAUUUCCGUGUUCCCGAAUUUCCGUAAUUCACACAUCACAUUCACUCAGAGGCCACGCCACUGAGUGUAUCUCUACGCUAGGCUGCUUAUUUUCACAUACUUGCUUAAUACUGGUUGUGUGACUCCCGAGUCCAACUUCCGCUUUUUCGCACACAUCAUUCACGAACACCAUGUGUUCUUCAUUUCUAGUUUGCAUCGGUCCUCCGGGGCUGCAACUCAUUCGUAACACUACACUUCCAUUUUAUUUGAACCAGUACUCCAAGGAGUUCAGCCGAAUCCGUCACUUCGACAAGUUCGAACGGAUCCUUCGCUCUUUCAAACUCUUGCUGGUUAACCAGCAAGCCCCUUGCACUCCCAGCGGGUGUCUAUGGGUGUUAUUCACACAAAUCAUUUUAGCACACAUCAAAUUUCCUCGAGAAACAUUGGCUUGUGCUAUUUUUCAUACACAAGUUAUGCGACCACUCGACGGCCCUAUGUGCCAACUUCAUCGCUACUCAGACUCGGUCACCGUACCGGUCCUAGCGCACCACAACACCGACCUUCUCGCUCUAUUUGACUUCAAACACAUCCGGCCAAACACAUAGACUCCGUCGUCUCGUUGGGCAUGAGACAGAUAAAUCUCUUUUAUAAUCAAACUACAGACUUCACUCCUUUGCAAGUUUGCCUCUUUUGAGCAUCACUCGGAAGCUCCUCCUGACCUUUACCCGAGUUCGACUCGAUGAAUUACAAUUCAUCCAUUCAAAACUAUAUUAAUCGUGUUCCGAAAGGACCGCGGUCGAAGCCUAUAAUAUGCUCGGGGGCUACGCCACAUUCAGGGGCUACACCGCACUCGGGGGCUACAACUCAUUCAGAAUGACACUCUCCUGAGUGGUCGAGUACUUCAUCACCAGUCAGAUCCUUCACUUCAAACAAAUGCAUCCGACCCGCCACUUUGACAAGUUACAUACUCACUCACACACUCUGUGCGCCAUCUUCGUUCCUACUCAGGCUCAGUUGUUGCGCCAGUCUUGUUGCGUCACAUGCACACUACAUCGACCACGUCGUUACAUUAGCUUCGAAAGCAUCCGACUAACUCCUCUGAGGACAGUUUUCACCACCGGGCCAUCCUAGCUUUGCCACUCGGUGGGACACGUCCUCACCACUCGGCUGCUCCGCGCUUGGCCACUCCAUGGGACACGCCUUCACUUUGGCCACCCUGCGCGUCGCCAGUUGGCCGUGCACGUCUUCUCCACUCGGCCACCCUGCGCGUUGCCACUCGGUUGUUCACAUCGUCACCCCUGGGCCGCCCUGCGCGUCGCCACUCCAUUAGUUACACCUUCACCCCUUGGCCGCCCGCAAGUCGCCAUCGGUUGGACAUGUCUUCACCACUUCACGUCUAACGCAGUAACGACUAAGUUACUCAUAUGAUCAAACCUCACAUCACUCAAGGGCUGCACACAGCCGUGGGCCACGCCUCCCUCACGGGUUACGCCCAUUUGAUCAACCCGUUGAUCACAUCAGUAAUAUUUUUUCUGACCAAACAUGCUCAGUCUGCCGAAGAUCUAUAAGGGUAGCACCGUCCACUCGAAUGAUCGCCCAAAUCAUUACCUAGAGUCAUCUUUAGGACUGCAAAAGGGUGAAAACAACGCUCCUCUACGGAUACACUUGGCCCUUAUUCUAGGCUCCAAGGCUCAGUUUCGCAAACUUGGACUCAGAGGUGGCAUGUGUUGGUGUUCCCCCGGGAUAAUAAGUGGCUUCUCUCCAGAGAGUCAGACCACACACUAUCCUCGCCACUCGAGUUUCAUCGCACAUCCACGUCAGACCACUAGUCUAUCUCUUCCAGGAGACAUACAAGUGCCACCAAGUGUUUCCUUGCAGUCAGCAUACCCCGAUCGGUCUGGAAGCACGUUCACUCGGACAAAUACCCCUUUCAUGCAAAAGGGUGAAAACGAACCUCCUCUACAGAUACAAUGUACUCUUACAAAUACCCCUUUCAUGCAGAAGUUAAUGGUCAAUGUAAGAGGUACUACUAGAACGAUUACUCCCUGGAUUGUCGAGUUUUUUUACAGUCGGAAAUUUCAAGGCCGAAUUCAUUCAUCGUGCCGAGUGCACAAAGAUCACUUGAUUGAUCCAGUUCCAGGUUGAAUUUAUUUAUAGUGCCAAGUGCACGAAGACAGUCCGACUGACUCAGCUCCAAGCUGAGUUUAUUUACCAUGCCAAACACUUGAAGAUCCAUCCGAUUGACUCAAUUUCAGACAAAGAUAUUUACCGUGUCGACUGCAUGGAGGUUUACCGGGUGUAAGGGCAUAUUUAUCCCUUAGUAGUUUUGGUGAUUGAUGACAAUGCGUUUGCGGACUAACCGUGUGCAUGGAGCUUUUCAGAUAUAUCAUGACUGAACGCAAGGCGAUUUGAAGCCCCUCGAAGAUUACAGAAGAUGAUGCUUCUAUAUGUUUCUUUUCGGUGGAUCUGAGUCAUAGGAGAGCCGUACUAUUAAGAGGGGGUCCGCGCUGGAAAGGUUUGGGUGGAAUCUCAUGUACACGUUCAUUUUGCACCACCUUUCCUUUGGUUCUUUGGAGUUUCCUCCGUCUCACCGUGUCUCUGCCGAAUGAAGGACUCCAAGUGUUGUUGUUCAUAGGCUGGCGGUAGUACUGCUCCCCAGAGCGGUACUACCGUAGGCACCAGCGGUAGUACCGGGCUCCGGCACGGUAGUACCAUGGGCGCCCACGGUAGUAUCGCUCCAUCUGUGCGGUAGUACCAUGAGCUCUGACCUGGCGCUGAUGCGCAAGCGGUAGUAGGGGCAGAUGUAAUUUUUUACAUCCGUGCCCUACGCGGUAGUACCGUGCUCUGGCGCGGUAGUAUCGUGCGCUUUGGCCUGGCGCUGCUGCGCAAGCGGUAGUAGGGGCGGUAGUAGGGGCGGAUGUAAUUUUUUACAUCCGCGCCCUAUGCGGUAGUACCGUGCUCUGGCGCGGUAGUACCGUACUGCCUGGCUAGGCACAACAGCAUGAGCGGAGGUAGGGGCGGAUGUAAUUUUUUACAUCCGCACCCUACAUGGUAGUACCGCACCUGGCUUGCGGCAGUACCGUGUCGGACUUUUGCAUAGAUAAAAUCUCAGCGGAUGUAGUCACGGAUGUAUUUUUUUAUAUUCGUGCCUAGACGGUGCCUGCCUUGCGGUAGUACCGCACGGGUUCGCGGUAGUACCGCGCCAGCGGUUCUACCGCACCCUGGCGGUGCUCAUCUGGUCAGGUCCAGGCCGUGUCGCACCCACGGUAGUACCGUGAUCUGCCGCGGUAGUACCCCAUGCCCUUGCGGUAGUACCUCUCCUAUGGUGCGGUAGUACCGCGGGUCGCGGGCUGAGUGGUGGGUAACAGUUGAAAUUGUUCCCCCACUAUAUAAAGGGGUCUUCUUCUCCAAGAAGACUCACCUCUUCCAUCCCUAAACUCCAUUUUUGCUCCAAGCUCCAUUUUCGCCCGAUCUCUCUCCCUAGCCAAUCAAACUUGUUGAUUUGCUCGGGAUUGGUUGAGAAGGCCCCGAUCUACACUUCCACCAAGAGAAAUUUGAUUUCCCCCACUAAUCCCUUGCGGAUCUUGUUACUCUUGGGUGUUUGAGCACCCUAGAUGGUUGAGGUCACCGCGGAGCCAUAGUCCAUUGUGGUGAAACUUCAUGGUGUCGUUGGGAGCCUCCAAUUAAGUUGUGGAGAUUGCCCCAACCUUGUUUGUAAAGGUUCGGUCGCCGCCUUCAAGGGCACCAAUAGUGGAAUCACGACAUAUCGCAUUGUGUGAGGGUGUGAGGAGCAUACGGUGGCCCUAGUGGCUUCUUGGGGAGCAUUGUGCCUCCACACCGCUCUAACGGAGACGUACUUCCCCUAAAAGGAAGGAACUUUAGUAACGCAUCCUCGUCUCCAUCGGUUCCCCUUUUGGUUAUCUCUCUCUCCUUUACUUGUGCAGGCUAUAUUGUGUUCUAUCCUUGUUUGCUUGUGUGCUUAUUGUUGUUGGAUCAUAUAGGUUGCUCACCUAAUUGCAUAUCUAGACAACCUACUUUGAUGCAAAGUUAAAAUUGGUAAAGAAAAGCUAAAAAUUGUUAGUUGCCUAUUGACCCCCCCUCUAGUCAACUAUAUCGAUCCUUUCAAUUGGUAUCACAGCCUCGUCUCUUUUUAAGGACUUUGUCGUCUAAAGAGUAUGGUUGACACCGUAGACGGUGUGGAGGAGCACUCUGGUGUGAAUCGGGUCUCGUCUAUGGCUGAUGGGGGAACCACGGUCUCUCGUGAGGAAUUCAAUGUGGCUUUGGACACAUUGAAAACCUUCAUGACGACCGAGGUUGAAAGCAUGUUUAAUAAAUUCUUAGAAGGACUUAAACUAUCUACCUCGCCAAUGAAAGUGGGUGAUCCCACUAACAAGGUGACGGAUGCUAACUCCGACAUGGGGGAAGCUACUAGUGAAAAGGGUCCUUCUACUAGUGGUAGAAAUGGCACCCACAUCUUUGCCCAUGUGGAACCUCCUCUUACUUAUGGAGGACCGAUUCCCUCUACUCAUUUAAAUCAUGCCGGUCCUCCUCCUAAGAUUGUGAAAAAUGAAGAUUUUGAUGCUUGGGUCUAUCGCUUUAAGCGUCAUUUAAAACAUGUUAACACUAAUCUUUGGAGAAUUAUUGAAGAAGGUUUCUAUCCGCAUGAGCCAAGCAACUUCACCCCAAGAGAAGCCGCGGAUAAUCAAUUCAACGAGAAUGCUCUCUUCAUCCUUCAAGAUGCAAUUCCACCCGAAGAAAUUGCACAUCUCCGACCAUUCACCAUGGCCAAGGAAGCAUGGCACUGAUACGUCUCCAACGUAUCUACUUUUCCAAACACUUUUGCCCUUGUUUUGGACUCUAACUUGCAUGAUUUGAAUGAAACUAACCCGGACUGACGCUGUUUUCAGCAGAACUGCCAUGGUGUUAUUUUUGUGCAGAAAUAAAAGUUCUCGGAAUGACUUGAAAAUCCACGGAGCAACUUUUCAGAUUUAAUAAAAAAUAUUGGCGAAAGAAAUAGCGUCAGGGGGCCCACACCCUAUCCACGAGGGUGGGGGGCGCGCCCCCCUGCCUCGUGGGCCCCCUGCUGCUCCAUCGACCUCAACUCCAACUCCAUAUAUUCCGUUUCACGAAGAAAAAAAUCAGAGAGGAAGUUUAAUCGUGUUUUAUGAUACGGAGCCGCCACCAAGCCCUAAUCUCUCUUGGGAGGGCUGAUCUGGAGUCCAUUCGGGGCUCCAGAGAGGGGGAUUCGUCAUCGUCGUCUUCAUCAACCAUCCUCCAUCACCAAUUUCAUGAUGCUCACCGCCGUGCGUGAGUAAUUCCAUCAUAGGCUUGUUGGACGGUGAUGGGUUGGAUGAGAUUUACCAUGUAAUCAAGUUAGUUUUGUUAGGGUUUGAUCCCUAGUAUCCACUAUGUUCUGAGAUUGAUGUUGCUAUGACUUUGCUAUGCUUAAUGCUUGUCACUAAGGCCCGAGUGCCAUGAUUUCAUAUCUGAAUGUAUUAUGUUUUCAUGAAUAUAUGUGAGUUCUUGAUCCUAUCUUGCAAGUCUAUAGUCACCUAUUAUGUGUUAUGAUCCGACCCCGAAGUGACAAUAAUCGGGAUACGUCUCGGUGAUGACCGUAGUUUGAGGAGUUCAUGUAUUCACUAUGUGUUAAUACUUUGGUCCAGUUCUCUAUUAAAAGGAGGCCUUAAUAUCCCUUAGUUUCCAUUAGGACCCCGCUGCCACGGGAGGGUAGGACAAAAGAUGUCAUGCAAGUUCUUUUCCAUAAGCACGUAUGACUAUAUUCGGAAUACAUGCCUACAUUACAUUGAUGAAUUGGAGCUAGUUCUGUGUCACUCUAUUUUAUAACUAUUACAUGAUGAAUCGCAUCCGACAUAAUUAUCCAUCACUGAUCCAGUGCCUACGAGCUUUUCACAUCUUGUGCUUUGCUUAUUUACUUUUCCGUUGCUACUGUUACAAUCACUACAAAACUGCUAUCGUUACUUUUAUCACUAUCACCGUCACUAUCAUACCACUUUGCUACUAAAUACUUUGCUGCAGAUACUAAGUUAUCCGAGUGUGGUUGAAUUGACAACUCAACUGCUAAUACUUAAGAAUAUUCUUUGGCUUCCCUUGUGUCGAAUCAAUAAAUUUGGGUUGAAUACUCUACCCUCAAAAACUGUUGCGAUCCCCUAUACUUGUGGGUUAUCAAGACUAUUUUUUGGCGCCGUUGCCGAGGAACAUAGCUCUAUUCUUUGAGUCACUUGGGAUUUAUAUCUGCUGGUCACUAUGAAGAACUUGAAAGACGAAAGAACUAAGAUUUUUCCCUCAACUACGAGGGGAGGUAAGGAACUGCCAUCUAGCUCUGCACUAGAUUCUCCUUCUGUUAUGAGUAAGCUUGCGACACCUAAACCUGCUACUCCUAUUAAUUCUGGUAUGUCGCAUGUUAUUGAUGAUGCCACUUCUGCUAUGCAUGAUACUUAUGAUGAAACUACUUCUAUGCUUGAUACUACUAUGCCAUUAGGUGAAUAUCUUGAUGAACAACUUGCUAGGGUUAGAGAGAAUGAAAUUAUUGAAGAUAAAAUUAUUGAUGAUAGUGAUGAUGAAGGUUCUCCCCCUAAGUAUGAAUUGCCUGUUGUUCCUGAGGGUUAUGUUAUGGAUGAAGAAACUACUAGAGAUUUUCUUGCUUGCAAUGAUAGAUCAGAUCUUAAGAAAUUAUUAGCUAAACUUAAAUAUAAAACUCUGAAUGCUAGAAUGAAAUAUGACCCUGCUUUUGCUACUUCACCUAUCUUUGUUACUGAUAAGGAUUAUGAAUUCUCUGUCGAUCCUGAGAUAAUUACUUUGGUUGAAUCUAAUCCUUUUUAUGGCAAUGAAUCUGAAACUGUUGUGGCACAUCUUACCAAGUUGAAUGAUAUAGCCACCCUGUUUACUAAUGUUGAGAAGUCUCGCUAUUAUUAUAUCCUUAAAAUAUUUCCAUUCUCAUUAAAGGGUGAUGCUAAAACUUGGUUUAAUUCUUUUGAUCCUGAUUGUGUGUGUAGUCCCCAGGAUAUGAUUUAUGACUUCUCUGCUAAAUAUUUCCCUGCUCAUAAGAAACAAGCUGCCUUGCGGGAAAUAUAUAAUUUUGUGCAAAUCGAAGAAGAGAGUCUCCCACAAGCUUGGGGGAGGCUUCUCCGAUUACUUAAUGCUUUACCUGAUCAUCCUUUUAAGAAAAAUGAAAUACUUGAUAUCUUUUGUAAUGGACUAACCGAUGCUUCCAAGGACCACUUGGAUAGUUGUGCUGGUUGUGUUUUCAGGAAAAGAACAGUCGACCAAGCUGAAUUUUUAUUGAAUAAUAUGUUGACUAAUGAAAUUAAUUGGACUCUUCCUGAGCCAAUUCCCGAGCCAAUUGAGCUAACUCCUGAGCCUAUUCCUAAACCAACUCCGAAGAAGAGGGGUGUUCUAUAUCUCAGUCCCGAAGAUAUGCAAGAGGCAAUGAAAUCAAUGAAAGAAAAAGGUAUUAAAGCUAAAGAUGUUAAGAAUUUGCCUCCUAUUGAAGAGAUACAUGGUCUUAAUAUACCGCCUGUUGAAGGAACACAUUGUCUUGAUAACCCGACACAGGUAGUAAAGGUAAAUUCUCUCUAUAGAUAUGAUAAAGUUGAAAUCCCGUCUACUAAAUUUCAUAGCCAAUGUUUAGAUGAAUUUGAUGACUUUAUGGUUAGACAAGAAAGUUUUAAUGCUUAUGUUGGUAGAGAAUUAAAGAAUAAUGCUUUUAAGAUAGAGCGCUUGAGUGAUUAUAUGGCUAGAGUUAAAGGUGAACUUAAACUCAUUAGCAAAUAUGCUUCUAUGGUUACCACUCAAGCUGAACAAGUACUUAAAGCUCAAAGUGAUUUGCUCGAUGAAUUAAAUAAUAAACAUGAUUUUGCUGUUAGAUUGGCUACUAGAACUGGUAGAAUGACUCAGGAACCUUUGUAUCCUGAAGGCCACCCUAAGAGAAUCGAGCAGGAUUCUCAGAGAAAUAAUUUAGAUGCACCUACUCCGUCUAAAAAGAAGAAAAAUAAAAAUGAUAGGACUUUGCAUGCUUCUAGUAAACCUGUUGUAGACACACCUGAGAAUCCCAAUGAUAUUUCUAUUUCUGAUGCUGAAACACAAUCAGGUGAUGAACAUGAACCUAGUGAUAAUGUUAAUGAUAAUGUUCAUAUUGAUGCUCAACCUAGCAAUAAUAAUGAUGUAGAGAUUGAACCUGCUGUUGAUCUUGAUAACCCACAAUCAAAGAAUCAAUGUUAUGAUAAAAGAGAUUUUGUUGCUAGGAAGCACGGUAAAGAAAGAGAACCAUGGGUUUAGAAACCCAUGCCCUUUCCUCCUAAACCAUCCAAGACAAAGGGUGCUGAGGAUUUUGAGCGCUUUGCUGAAAUGAUUAGAGCUAUCUUCUUACGUAUGCGCUUAACUGAUAUGCUUAAAGUAAACCCUUAUGCUAAAUACAUGAAUGAUAUCAUUACAAAUAAAAGAAAGAUACUGGAAGCUGCAAUUUCCAUCAUGCUUGCUAAUUAUACUUUUAAAGGUGGAAUACCAAAGAAACUUGGAGAUCCAGGGGUACCAACUAUACCAUGCUCCAUUAAAAGAAAUUAUGUUAAAACUUCUUUAUGUGAUCUUGGAGCUGGUGUUAGUGUUAUGCCUCUCUCUUUAUAUCGUAGACUUGAAUUGAAUAAGUUGACACCUACUGAAAUAUCUUUGCAAAUGGCCGGUAAAUCAACUGCUAUACCUGUCGGUAUUUGUGAGGACGUGCCUGUUGUGGUUGCAAAUGUCACUAUCUUAACGGACUUUGUUAUCCUUGAUAUUCCCGAGGACGAUAGUAUGUCGAUUAUCCUUGGUUAUUGUGGAAGAAGAGGAAGAUGAGGAGAGCAACCCCGAAGAUUCAAAAUAUGAUUAUCAUGAGCACAUGGCUCUUGCUUCAAGGCAAUUUUGGAGCAAGAAGAACACAAGGCCCAACUUCAACAAGAACAACUCAAGUAGCUUCAAGGGCAAGCAACGUGUGAGAACAUGUUACAAUUGUGGCAAUGUGAGUCACUUUGUUAUGGAUUUCCCUUACGAGAAGCGGGAAGACAAUGGUGGCAAGCUCAUCCGAAAAGACAAAGCCAAGUCCUUCCCCAACAAGAACAACUUCACCAAAAAUACUCCUACUCGAGGGUUGGUGGUUCAAGAAGAAUACCAUGAGGAUGAUGAUUAUGAUGAAGAUGGUGAAGCAAUGGCCAUGGCCUCCGUUGCCAUUGCCACAACUGCACGGGUGUAUCUCUUCGAUUCACCCAACGAGAACAUCACCGCCAAGUGCCUCAUGGCUAAAGCCACUAACAAGGUAACCCCCAAAAUCAAAACCACCAUUAUUACUAAUCCCUCCUUGACGGAUUGCAUUGAUGAAAGUUAGGGGUCUAAUGAGGAAGUGAAUGAAUUUGAGUCUUUUAUGAGUAAGCUCAAGGGCAAAUCCAAGAAAAACUUUGUUGCUCUCUUGGAACAACUUGGUGAAGCCAAUGACAUGAUCGAGGCUCAUGAAGAAACCAUCUCUAAGAUGGAAGGUCAUAGUCGUGACUAUGCCGAUGAGAUAUCAGAUCUCUCUAAUGCUCUCGAGGAAGAGCGUGGGCAUCUUUUGGCUCUUGAGGAGUCACACAACGAUGACCAUGCUAAAUUGAAGAAAGAUCUUGAUCAUGCUCUUGUUGUAUCUCGUGUGCUAAAUUCCGAGAAGGCCAAACUUGGGGUUGACCAUGCUAGACUCGAGAAGGAGUUUGACGUACUCGACAAGGCCCACAAGGUCUUGAAGGGUGCUCAUGCUAAACUCAAGGAGUCUCAUGAUCAACUCCAAGUGAAGCUAACCAAGGAGAAAGCCACCUUUCCUCACAUGGUAUUAAUUGAUAAUGCAAAUGCUACUAACCCAUGUUGUGAGCAUGUGCAUCUUGUGGAGUAGAAUGCCAAGCUGAAAGAGCAACUUGAGAAAGGCCUUGUGACAUGCAUACAAGUUGAUAAGAACCUUAAUGACCUUUUGAGCAAUCAAAAGGAAGUUGUGGCCAAGGAGGGAGUUGGGUUCGCACCCAAAUCUAAGAACAAGAAGAAGAAUGACAAGACCAAACAACCUCCCCCUCUCAAGCAAACCUUUGUGAAGGAGGGAGAGGGUGCUUGUCGGUGUCAAAACCGGCGGAUCUCGGGUAGGGGGUCCCGAACUGUGCAUCUAAGGCUAAUGGUAACAGGAGGCGGGGGACAUGAUGUUUACCUAGGUUCGGGCCCUCUCUAUGGAGGUAAUACCCUACUUCCUGCUUGAUUGAUCUUGAUGAUAUGAGUAUUACAAGAGUUGAUCUACCACGAGAUCAUAGAGGCUAACCCUAGAAGCUAGCCUAUGAUUAUGAUUGUUGUCCUUGUCCUACGGACUAAACCCUCCGGUUUAUAUAGACACUGGAGGGGGCUAGGGUUACACAGAGUCGGUUACAGAGAAGGGAGUCUACAUAUUCGAAUUGCCAAGCUUGCCUUCCACGCAAAGGAGAGUCCCACCCGAACACGGGACGAAGUCUUCAAUCCUGUAUCUUCAUAGUCCAAUAGUCCGGCCAAAGUAUAUAGUCCGGCUGUCCGAGGACCCCCUAAUCCAGGACUCCCUCAGUAGCCCCUGAACCAAGCUUUGAUGACGAUGAGUCUGACGCGCAGAUUGUCUUCGGCAUUUCAAGGUGGGUUCCGUCUCCGAAUACUCCAAAGUAGAUCUUGAACACAAGAAUCGUGUCCGGCUCUGCAAAACAAAUUCCACAUACUACCGUAGAGAGUAUAAUAUUCCACGAGUCUAAUCUGCUGACAACUUUUCCAUAGCGUGACAUCACGCCGUGGCCUGGUCAUUAUUCGAACCAUUUUCUCAACCUGCUACUACACAUCUUGCGAGGAGGUUUUAUUGGCACGUCUUGUCGAAGCAGAGAUCGUGUCCCCUUAUAACGGGAUUCUCAUCAAUACGGGUGUGGGUAACCCAACCGUGCCAUAGCACGACGCUUGGGGAAUAAGUGAGUUUCUAGGGCAAGUGGGAGGCGCAUGAUUUCUGCCGCCUUUAUAAAGAGAUAAGGAUUCCCCUUUUUCACCCACGCCUUCUUCUUCCUCUGCUCAUCCAUUCUCGAGCUCCAACGCUGAUACGUCUCCGUUGUAUCUACUUUUCCAAACACUUUUGCCCUUGUUUUGGACUCUAACUUGUAUGAUUUGAAUGGAACUAACCCGGAUUGACGCUGUUUUCAGCAGAAUUGUCAUGAUGUUGUUUUAUGUGCAGAAAACAAAAGUUCACGGAAUGACCUGAAACUCCACGGAAUAUCUUAUAAUAAAUAAUAAAAAUCCUCGCCAAAGAUGAAGACCAAGGGGCCCACACCCUGUCCACGAGGGUGGGGGGCGCGCCCCUCCCCCUAGGCGCGCCCCCUACCUCGUGGGCCCCCUAGAUGCCCUCGGACGCCAACUCCAACUCCAUAUAUUGGCUUUCAGGGAGAAAAAAAAUCAGAGAGGAAGUUUCAUCGCGUUUACGAUAUGCAGCCGCCGCCAAGCCCUAAUCUCUCUUGGGAGGGCUGAUCUGGAGUCCGUUCGGGGCUCCGGAGAGGGGGAUUCAUCGCCGUCGUCAUCAUCAACCAUCCUCCAUCACCAAUUUCAUGAUGCUCACCGCCGUGCGUGAGUAAUUGCAUCGUAGGCUUGCUCGACGGUGAUGGGUUGGAUGAGAUUUAUCAUGUAAUCGAGUUAGUUUUGUUAGGGUUUGAUCCCUAGUAUCCAUUAUAUUAUGAGAUUGAUGUUGCUAUGACUUUGCUAUGCUUAAUGCUUGUCUCUAGGGCCCGAGUGCCAUGAUUUCAGAUCUGAACCUAUUAUGUUUUCAUGAAUAUAUGUGUGUUCUUGAUCCUAUCUUGCAAGUCUAUAGUCACCUACUAUGUGUUAUGAUCCGGCAACCCCGAAGUGACAAUAAUCGGGAUCACUCCCGGUGAUGACCAUAGUUUGAGGAGUUCAUGUAUUCACUUUGUGCUAAUGCUUUGUUCCGGUUCUCUAUUAAAAGGAGGCCUUAAUAUCCCUUAGUUUCCAAUAGGACCCCGCUGCCACGGGAGGGUAGGACAAAAGAUGUCAUGCAAGUUCUUUCCAUAAGCACGUAUGACUAUUUACAAAAUACAUGCCUACAUUACAUUGAUGAACUGGAGCUAGUUCGGUGUCACCCUAUGUUAUGACUGUUACAUGAUGAACCACAUCCGGCACAAUUAUCCAUCAUUGAUCCGGUGCCUACAAGUUUUCCAUAUACUGGUUCUCGCUUAUUUACUUUUCCGUUAUUACUGUUACAAUCACCACAAAAUACCAAAAACAUUACUUUUGCUGUCUUUACUUUUGUUACCAUUAUCACCACUAUCAUAUUACUUUGCUACUAAACACCUUGCUGCAGAUACUAAGUUUCCAGGUGUGGUUGAAUUGACAACUCAGCUGCUAAUAUUUGAGAAUAUUCUUUGGCUCCCCUUGUGUCGAAUCAACAAAAUUUGGGUUGAAUACUCUACCCUUGAAAACUGUUGCGAUCCCCUAUACUUGUGGGUUAUCAAGACCUUUUUCUGGCGCCGUUGCCGUGGAGCAUAGCUCUAUUCUUUUAGUCACUUGGGAUUUAUAUCUGCUGGACACUAUGAAGAACUUGAAAGACGCUAAGACAACAAUUUAUCCCUCAACUAUGAGGGGAGGUAAGGAACUGCCAUCUAGCUCUGCACUUGAUUCACCUUCUAUUAUAAACAAGCUAGCGACACCUAAACCUGCUUCUGCUAUUCGUUCCAAUAUGUCGCAUUGUUAUUGAUGAUGCCACUUUUGCUAUGCAUGAUACUUAUGAUGAAACUACUUCUAUGCUUGAUACUACUGUGCCUCUUGGUGAAUUUCUAGAUGAACAAAUUUCUAAGUCUAGAGAAAGAGAAAUUAUUGAAACUGAACACGAUGAUGUUAGUGAUGAUGAAAAUAGGCCUGCUAUUCGUGAGGGUUACCUUUUUAAUGCUGAAUCUACUGAAGCUAUUCUUGCUUGCCAGGAUAGUCUUGAACGUAAUAGGUUGCUAGUUAAAUGGAGUAAAGAAUCUUUUAGAGGUAGGAUGAGACCCGACCCUGCUUUUGCUACUUCACCUAUCUGUGUUCCUGAUCAGGAUUAUUAUGAUUUUUCUGUUGAUCCAGAUAUAAUUACUUUGGUUGAAUCUGAUCCUUUUUAUAGCUAUGAAUCUGAAACUAUUGUGGCACAUCUUCGUAAGUUAGAUGAUAUAGCUGCCCUGUUUACUAAUAAUGAGAGAUCGCGCUGCCUUUAUUUACUCAAAAUAUUUCCGUUCUCACUAAAGGGUGAUGCUAAGAUAUGGUUUAAUUCUCUUAAUCCUGGUUGUGUGCAAAGUCCCCAGUAUAUGGUUUAUUACUUCUCUGCUAAAUAUUUCCCUGCUCAUAAGAAACAAGCUGCUUUGAGGGAUAUAUAUAAUUUUGUGCAAAUUGAAGAGGAGAGUCUCCCACAAGCUUGGGGGAGGCUUCUCAAGUUACUUAAUGCUUUGCCUAAUCAUCCUCUUAAGAAACCUGAAAUACUUGAUAUCUUUUAUAAUGGACUAACUGAUGCUUCCAGGGAUUACCUCGAUAGUUGUACCGGUUCUCUUUUCAGGGAAAGAACACCGGAUGAAGCUGAAAUUCUAUUGAAUAAUAUGUUGACAAAUGAAAAUAAUUGGGCACCUCCUGAGCCAACUCCCGAGCCAGCUCCUGAGCCAAUUACUGAGCCUAUUCCUAAACCAACUCCGAAGAAGAGAGGUGUCCUAUUUCUCAGUCCCGAAGAUAUGCAAGAGGCAAAGAAAUCUAUGAAAGAAAAAGGUAUUAAAGCUGAAGAUGUUAAGAAUUUACCUCCUAUUGAAGAAAUACAUGGUCUUAAUUUACCGCCUGUUGAAGAAGUAUAUGAUCUCAAUUACUUAUUUAAUGAAGAACCUCCCGACAUCCCGACACAGGUAGUAAAGGUAAAUUCUCUCUACAGAUGUGAUAAAACCGAAGUCCCUCCUACUAAAAUUGCUAGUCAGUGCUUGGAUGAGUUUGACGACCUUAUGUUUAAGCAAGAUGACUUUAAUGCUUAUUUUGGUAGACAAUUAAAAUAGAAUACCUUUAUGAUUAAACGCUUGAGUGAUUAUAUGGCUAAUAUUAGAGGUGAACUUAAACUUGUUAGCAAACAUGCUUCUAUGGUUACCACUCAAGUAGAACAAGUAAUUAAAGCUCAGAAAGAAGUGCUUAAUGAACUGAAUAGUAAGGAAAAUGAUUAUGCUGUUAGAGUGGCUACUAGAACUGGUAGAAUGACUCAGGAACCUUCAAGAUUAUCAGAGAAAUAAUAUUGAUAUGCCUAGUUCUUCUAAAAGGAAGAAAAAGAAAAAUGAUAGAACUGUGCAAACUUCUAGUGAACCUAUUGCUGAACCACCUGAUAAUCCAAAUGAUAUCUCUAUGUCUGAUGCUGAAACACAAUCUGGUAAUGAUCAUGAACCUAGUAAAAACGUUAAUGAUGAUGUUCAUGAUGAUGCUCAACCUAGUAAUGAUAAUGAUGUAGAAGUUGAACCUGCUGUUGAUCUUGAUAACCCACAAUCAAAGAAUCAACGUUAUGAUAAAAGAGACUUUGUUGCUAGGAAACAUGGUAAAGAAAGGGAACCAUGGGUCCAAAAACCCAUGCCUUUUCCCCCGAAACCAUCCAAGAAAAAGGAUGAGGAGGAUUUCGAGCGCUUUGCUGAAAUGAUUAGACCCAUCUUUUUGCGUAUGCGAUUAACGGACGUGCUCAAAACAAAUCCUUAUUCUAAGUAUAUGAAGGAUAUUAUUACUAAUAAAAGAAAGAUACCUGAAGCUGAAAUUUCCACCAUGCUUGCUAAUUAUACUUUUAAGGGUGGAGUACCAAAGAAACUUGGAGCUCCUGGAGUACCUACUAUACCAUGCUCCAUUAAGAGAAAUUAUGUUAAAACUGCUUUAUGUGAUCUUGGAGCCGGUGUUAGUGUUAUGCCUCUCUCUUUAUAUCGUAGACUUGACUUGAAUAAGUUGACACCUACUGAAAUAUCUUUGCAAAUGGCUGAUAAAUCAACUGCUAUACCUGUCGGUAUUUGUGAGGAUGUGCCUGUUGUGGUUGCAAACGUUACUAUUCUAACGAACUUUGUUAUUCUUGAUAUUCCCGAUGAUGAUAGUAUGUCUAUUAUUCUUGGAAGACCUUUGCUUAAUACUGCAGGGGCUGUUAUUGAUUGCAACAAAGGCAAUGUCACUUUUCAUGUUAAUGGUAAUGAGCAUACGGUACACUUUCCGAGGAAACAACCUCAAGUUUACAAUAUCAACUCUAUUGGAAAAAUUCCAUCGGUUAUAUUUGGAGGUUUUGAAUUUCCUCUCCCUACUGUCAAGAAGAAAUAUGAUAUACUUAUUAUUGGGGAUGUCCAUAUCCCCGUUGAGGUAACAUAGUGUUAUUCAAAAUUUCUCCAGUUCCAUGAUUAUCGGAAUGAGUUUGUUAAUAAGACUUGAUCAACCUUGUUAGUGGAUUCUUUUUGAUGAGCAUGAGAUGGAUGAAACUAGAAGCACAACCUUCUGUACCCUCUAUAUAUUUUCUAUUAUUUGGUAGAAAUAAAGUAAAAUAGUAUUUUUCUGUCUAUCUCCUGACUUAUCCGCUCAAUAUAAAAAUAUCCCGAAAAUAAAAGUCCUCAGAAUGCCAUGCCAAUUUAAUAUGAUUUUUUUCAGAAUUAUUUGAGAAUUUAAUGUGCAAAAAUAACCGCGGGGGGAGCUGCCACCUGGCCACGAGGGUGGAGGGCGCGCCCUACCCCCUGGGCGCGCCCCCCUACCUCGUGGGCCCAUGGUGGCCCUCCUCCACUUGUCCCUACACCCAUCUUCUUCCUCUGUCUCACACAAACCCGAAAAACCAACUCAAGCACAAGUUCCAGCCCCGUUGCUGUGAUUUUCAAUCUCCUUGCUCAAAGCACCUCUCACAAAACUGCUUGGGGAGAUUGUUCCUUGGUAUGUGACUCCUCCAUUGGUCCAAUUAGUUUUUGUUCUAGUGCUUUAUUCAUUUCAAAUUUGUGCUGCAUAGGUGACCAUGUUCUUGAGCUUGCAUGUCAAAUUUAUAUGGUUCUAAGUAGUUCUAAUGCUUGAUAAAGGCCCUAGGCACUUGUGGGAGUUGUUGCUAUCAAUUUUAUUGAAGUUGGUUCACUUUUACUUGAAGUCACUAAAAAUUUCAGAUUGUUUCAGAAAUAAUGAAGAGACUUUUGAGGGGCUUUUCGAGCCGAAGCUCUAAGGAGAAACAAAAGGAAGAAGAACAGAAGCCCAAAUUUAAUUUGCCUCGUAUCGCGGAGGUUCGGCCGUGUGAAUGGCCUUCCGAUGACUUCUUGAGGAGAGCCGGGAUUUAUGAAGAUUUCUAUUUAUUAAUUGAGAAUGCUGGCCUCGCCGACUUCCUCCGCGACCAACGUCAUCAGUAUCUCUUACUCACAAAUACUUUUGUGCACAAUUUCUACUUUUUCCCUAAGAGUUCACCUCCAUCUGUAGAAUUUCAUUUAUAUGACAUUGUUAAGAGGAUGCCAUUAGCUGAAUUUUGCGAGGUUUGCAAAAUACCUUUUGAGGGCACCUUGGAUGAACCACACCAUAAUGAAAUAGAAGCUUUUAUUAACACUAUCACGGUGGGAGAAACCAGGAAGGUUUCUGAUGCAAGAAUCACUAGCAUACAUUUUCCUAUUUUAAGCUACUUUGCCUUAUUUGCUAGACGUUGCUUGAUAGGUCGCGGAAACUGUGGAAACCUUAGUAUUCCUGAUGUGAUCAUUUUGUUCCAUGGUUUAUACCGAAAUAACUCUGUUAGUAUGGGUGGAAUUGUUGCUAGACGGUUAAGUCUGAACCAUACUAAAGGCCCCAUCUUUGGAGGCAUUUAUGCCUCACGCCUCGCUGCCUCGUGCUUAUUUAGAUUAUAGGAGUAUGCUAGCGCAUGAUUUUCUUCUUAAGAGUCGUGAAGGGGAACUCAAAUAUAAAUUGUACUUUGAUAAAUAUCACCCUGAGAUUAUUACUUUGCCUGCUCCCUCUUUGUUUAACUUGUCUGCAGGUCCUCACAUCGUUCCGUGGGUGGCCAUUCAAGCCUAUCAAAAUCCUGCACCCGCCCCAAAGCCGGAACCACAAGAUGAGCCUCCACGACUAUCUGUUUAUUCUUGGGAUCCAGAGGAGGCUACCAGCUAGUGGUAGCCGGAGCCUUCUUCGUCACAGUAUGACCCCAGCUUCACUUAUGGGUUAUCAAACGCCCAAGCUUUCGCCUUCUCCGCAAUAACAUUCCGAACAUGUCCGGAGCGGGAGGCAAGUGGAUGGCCUCCUCCGUCAAGGAGGAUAUCAAGAAGCUUCGGGAGGCCGGAUACUUGUCCAAGGACAUCGCGCAUCGGCUUUCGGCCGAAGGGCAGAUCAUCCCUACCCUGAAGCCCCAGGAAAGGGUAGUGUUCCUCUCCCACUUUGUUCGCGGGCUGGGAUUCCCCCUCCACCCAUUCGUCCGUGGACUAAUGUUCUACUACGGGCUGGACUUCCAUGAUUUGGCCCCCAACUCCAUCCUCAACAUCUCGGUGUUUAUCAUCGUGCGCGAGGCCUUUCUCCGCAUCACACCCCACUUCGGCCUAUGGUUGAAGACCUUCAACGUGAAGCCAAAGGUGGUGAGCGGCCAACAAGCAGAGUGCGGAGGCACCAUGGUGGGCAAGAUGACCAAUGUCACUUGGCCCGAAGGCUCCUUUGUGGAGACUGUGAAGGGGUGGCAAUCGGGGUGGUUCCACAUCACCGAGCCGCGCGACGCCAACUGGGCGGCGACCCCCGAAUUCUGAUCCGGCGUCCCCAUGCGGCUAACCUCCUUGCGAGAGAAGGGCGCAGCCUGGGGCUCAGCGGAAGAACUGACCGGACUUCAGACAUGCGUCCAACAUAUGAUAAGCAAGAAAAUCAAGCCUGUCAACGUGGUCCAGGUUAUGCUCUUCCGCGGAUUCUUUCAUGCUAGAGAUGGACUUGCAAUCUGUGGGAGUUCGACCCGGCCAUACACCAGAUGAUGUGAGAUCUCUUCGGCACGAUGCACGAAGACGUUUGGAAGGUGCUAUUGAAGGCCAAAGAGGUACCGCCGCCCACAACUGAGGAUCGCGGGCUCAGCGCAAGACGCCAAGCCAAUCCGGUAAGUUUUCAUAUUUGCAAGAUAUGCCUUUUACUAGCACAUCCAUGGGAGGAACCUAAGCCUCCAUGCCAAUAUUUCAGGCCUGGGUAACGAUAGCGGAGCAAAUUAACUGUCGGGCUCCGCUACCUGAAGAUCCAGAAUCACCCCUUCUAACGAAGAUGCUGUUUCUGGUGCCCUAUGAGGUGCCGGAGAAGAAGGCCAAGAAGACAUCCGCGGGGACCAGAGAUGGUCUCCAACGCAAGUUUUCACCGGACAUGACGUCUAAAGACACCAAGACGCACUCCUCCAUCGAAGAAGAGGAGGAGGAGGAAAUCCGCCCCCCCUACUGGGAGGAGAAAGAAGAGGAAAGCCGCCAUGCAUGGGGAGGCCGAGGUGUCCAAGAAGGGAAAAACCUUCCUUCUGGACCAUUCCACCGCAGCCACCUACAGCGGCGAGGAGUGGGAACCCAGGGUCAAGCCCCUGGCCAAGUCGUAAGUAUCCGGACAUAAUAGUACCUCCGAUAUGUUUGCUUUAUCGCUUAUUAAUGUGCCAGACAUGCACCUGCAGUCCGGCCAAGUCCAACAUCGAGAUAUCCUCCUCUUCGGAGGGAUCGUUGGACCCGUUGGUGAUGAGCAGCGAGUCUCUUCCGACAGCCUCCUCCCCCAAGGCUGUGGAUAACACUGAGGUGUUGUCUCGAAGGAUACCCAGCCAAGAGAAGACAGUUCCAGAGACGCCUUCAGGCGAAAUCCCGGUCGCCGUACACAUGGGGGGAAAGACCCCCACAGACUCCUAUAAUGGGGGCUGCAGCUAGUUUGGCCCCCAGCCGAAUACGGUUCCGGAAACCCGUGUGGUACCGGAUUCAGGCAAGCAGCCUCUCCCUAAACGGGCGAUCCGCUUGUACCGAUGACCUCUGUCCAUCCAGAGGCAUCAGACAGUUUGCUGGAAACGCUUCGCACUUCCAUUGAUGAAAAACACCGUACUCUUAUGGGUACGGUGAUUGAGAAGGUCCGGUCCGCCAAAAGCGGAUUGACCGAGGCCUGUGCUAGCCUUCUAACAGGCUUUGAGGUAAGUAAUAAAAUUGUGAGAGAAUAUCACCGUGUAGAUAGUAGCUCCUGAUGCUCUGUUUGGUGUUCGGAAAGAAAAGCCGAACAGAGGAUCAAAUAAUAUUCACAGGAGUCUAAUAUAAGAUGUCUAUGUGAAUAAGCAGGCAUCGCUGCUGGCCGCUGCCGCUCGUACCGCGGAGGUCUCUGGACUAAAGCAGGACCUGGAGCGGACCGAGGGAGAGCUCAUCCUCGCGAAGAGGCAGCUGGAGGAAAGUCAAGGUACGAAAUACCCAGCUUGUAUACUGUCACGCCCAAUAUGCGAUACUAUCCUAAAGAGACUCGAAGGUCCCACCAAGGAUAGAACCGCAUAUUGAAACACUUUUGCAAGGUGGAUAUCAUUACAUCAACAUUACAUAAUAGAUGGGGAUACAUACAAAGGGUAUACAAUGCCACAUGAUUACAACAUCAUUAUACACAAGAGCAUCAUCCGACUACGGAUGAAACACAAACAGAAACUCAAACGACAUCCACCCUGCUAGCCCAGGCUGCCGACCUGGAACCUAUCCCCUGGUCGAAGAAGAAGCAGAAGAAAAACUCCAAAACAAGCAAGCAUCGCUCUCGCAUCAAGAUCAUUGCAUAACCUGUACCUGCAACUAUUGUUGUAGUAAUCUGUGAGCCACGAGGACUCAACAAUCCCAUUACCGUGGGUUUCAAGACUAGCAAAGCUUAAUGGGAAAGGAAGGGGUAAAGUGGUGAGGUUGCAGCAGCGACUAAGCAUAUAUGGUGGCUAACAUACGCAAAAAAGAGCGAGAAGAGAAGCAACGGAAUGGUCGUGAAGCUAGCAAUGAUCAAGAAGUGAUCCUGAACUCCUACUUACGUCAAACAUAACCCAAAACCGUGUUCACUUCCCGGCCGCCGCCGAAAAUAGACCAUCACGGCUACACACGCGGUUGAUGCGUUUUAAUUCGUAUCUGGUGUCAAGUUAUCUACAACCGGACAUUAAAAAAUUUCCAUCUGCCAUAUAACCACGGGCACGGCUUUCGAAAGUUUAUACCCUGCAGGGGUGUCCCAACUCAGCCCAUCACAAGCUCCCACGGUCAACGAAGGAUAUAGCUUCUCCCAGGAAGACCCGAUCAGUCUCGGAAUCCCGGUUUACAAGACACUUUGACAAUGGUAAAACAAGUCCAGCAAGACCGCCCGAUGCGCCGACAUCUCGAUAGGAGCUGCACAUAUCUCGUUCUCAGGGCAACACCGGAUGAACACUACGUACAACUAAAACCAGACCUCAAGUUUCCCCGAGGUGGUGCUGCAAGUGGCUCUAGUUCGGACCAACACUUAGAGAAGCACUGGCCUGGGGGGGCUAAAUAAAGAUGACCCUCGAGAGAGCGACUCCCAAGGGAAAAGUAGGUGGUGGUGAGGCAAAUGGUAAAACCAAGGUUGGGCCUUGCUGGAGGAGUUUUAUUCAAAGCGAACUGUCAAGGGGGUCCCAUAAAUCACCCAACCGUGUAAGGAACGCAAAAUCAAGGAACAUAACACCGGUAUGACGGAAACUAGGGCGGCAAGAGUGGAACAAAACACCAGGCAUAAGGCCAAGUCUUCCACCCUUUACCAAGUAUAUAGAUGCAUUAAUUAAAUAAGAGAUAUUGUGAUAUCCCAACAUAAUCCUGUCCACCAUGAAGCAAUCUUCAACUUCACCUGCAACUAACAACACUAUAAGAGGGGCUGAGCAAAGCGGUAACAUAGCCAAGCAGCGGUUUGCUAGGAAGGGUGAAAAAGGUUAGAGGCUGACAUGGCAAAUUGGGAGGCUUGAAGAACAAGUGAUAGGUAGAAUAGCAAAGCGAUAGAACGAAGCAACUAGCAUAGCAAUGAUAGUAGUGAGAUCCAAGGUGAUGGUCAUCUUGCCUGAAAUCCCGCUAGGAAGAAGAACGAGUCCAUGAAGAAGAUGAAGCCACGAAGACAAACCAAGCGUAGACGAACGAAUCCUCACAAUCGCAACAUUACCGGAACUAAGAAGCAACACCAGAAAGAAACAAACAACAUGGUAAAUGCACAAUCAUAAACAUAGCAUGAUGCACAAACAAGCAUGAUGCUUGUACGGUUUAAUGAGGCAUGGCAUGGCAAAGUGCAACAAACAAUACUACAAAUUAAAUGGAGCCCAAUAUGCAACGAGUUGCAUAUUGACGAAACACCACAUUCAACUAUUUAGUUAGCCCCCGUUUAGGUACCCAACAAUAUUAAAUGUUGAUUAACAUGGCAAGAGGUGAAGCAUAAUAAAACUACGUAUCUAGACAAGUUUAAAUGAGGCUGGAACAACAAAUAACAAUUCCGAAAAUCCCCAUAUGUUAUUUAGCAAUUUAACACAAACAACAAUUUUAAACAUUUUGAAUGUUGUUAUCAUGAUGCGGAUGACAUAUGCAAGUUUUAUGCAAUUUUAUGAAAACGACAUGGGCAUGUUAUGAAGCAUUUGAUCACCAUGGCGGAACGAAAGGGGUGCCACAGCAACGACAACGGAAAUGGUGCCACGACAACGACAACGGAAAUGGUGCCAUGGCAACAUUCCGGUUCCGAUAACUCGUUAAGCGACCGGUGCAAACGAAGAUGUGGAUGUGCGGAAUAUGCAAAAGAUGGUGGGAUGAUCCUGGAUACCAGGUGUCCCACAUGACAGUGGCAUGGCAAACGAGGAACGUGCAAAGACAAUUCGAUACAACACAUGCAUUCGGUCCACGGUUGAUCAUCUCGGUGGUUAUACCUUUGAAGCGUGCGUUUUCGGGGCGGAACGAGUUCAAAGUGGUGUAGAUGGAAGUAGACGUUCUCGCAGCGGUCGUAGUGGAAGUAGUUGUACUCGUGUCGUAGUGGGAAGUAGUGGUGAUAUCGGUCAUUGGCGAUGGUAGUGGAAGUAGAGGUACAUGACGUCUUGUCGAAAUCACGACAGCGGUAGUUGUACACACGUUGUAGUCGAAGUUGACAGAACCAAUGUUCUCGAGGGUAGUCGUGGUACUUGGGGUCUUCGGACUCCCGCCGUCGUCGAGGUACUCGACGCUCAUGUAGUUGAUCUUGACGGUCUUGGCGUUCGGAGGUCAUCGAGGGACUUGGUGAAAAAUUUUGGUGUUGGGUUCUGUAGUCGUUCACAGGUCCCAACACAGGGUCUUGGAGAAACUAGGGUGCAUCUUGGCGGUCUCGUCUCGGUCUUCAAACCAAAACGAAGCAAGGCAAUAGACUCGGUGCGGUGGUACUUGGCGGUUCACAGCAAAGAGGAACCCUGAAGGGUGGCUCGAGGAAGAACACUGCGGCAAGGCGGCGAGGCCAGGGGAGGCGCAGCUGCGAAGCGGGGACUCGGGAGCGGAGGAUGAAGUCAUGGUGCUGGUGCACGGUGGCGAACAAGACGGGGUGGUCGUCGGCGGCUAUGAGCUGAAGAGCGACGGGGACGAGGUGGCACAGGGCCGGGCAAGAUGAAGCAGGAGGAUGGGGUGCAAGGUGGGGUCCCCGCAGAUGAGGCACCGGCGAACAAAGGCGGGCAGCGGAGGCGCGAAGACGAAGCCUGGUGAAGCGAAUGACUCUAGAUCGGGAGCUACUCUCCCAAUCUGGAGUGCAAGGGGGCGAGGGUGCGGAGGCAGCAGCGGUCGCUGGUCGGUGCAAGGGGGUCGUGAGGCACGGGAGGAAGGGCGAGGUGCGAGGCGGAGCAAAGGGGACGCGGCUCCACGACGAGGCGGCGGCGGGGAUGCUCAGCGGCUGGAGGAAGGCAGAAGCAGCGGCCAUGCCAGGGGCGGCGGACCAAGAAGCUUGAGAGCGCGAGCGCCAUGGUUCCGGGUGACGGGGCCGCUUCUGGUGGCGCGGGAGGCCGGGCGGCAGAAAGAGAAGGAGAUGAGGAUCGAGCGAGGAGGUGGGGGGAUCGAGCGCUGGCGGCGCUGGAGGGAGGACGAGGGAGAGAUGGAGAUCGAUGGGAGUGAGGAGGAGGUCGGGCUAGGGUUAGGAUUAGAUAGGUGGGCUGACCUGCUGGGAGGCCCAAUUGGCCAGCUGGGCUUCUCUCUUCUUGAUUUAUAGAAAAUAGAAAGAAAGAAUAGAGAGAAAAGAGAAGGUUAGAGAAAGAAUUGGCACGAGGUUAAUUUUCUCAGACUCAGAAAAAUGAGUUUAAUCCAAGAAAAUAGGAGUGGGCAUGGAUGCAAGGUUUUGAAUUUAAUUCAAAUGGGUGAAUAGGAAGUGGAGGUUUGGAAGGCCCAAAAAUGUUGAGAAUUUUAGAGGAGCCACAAUAAAUGGAGAAAGAAUUGUUGGCAAAGUUUGAGGCAAGGAAUUGAGAUAGAAAAUGCAUGGAACUUAAACUACAGGUGUGUUAUGGUUAAUUCCGAAACAAUGGAAUAUUAGUUUUAUAGCUCCCUAAUAAUAUUGGGAGGAUAUAUGUUAUAAAGAGAAAUCACCAUGUGCAUUUCCCUCGAUUUAAAUGGACCAAAGAUCCAUACUAUUUUGUUUAGAUGAGUUUUAAAAGGGUUGCAUGAUGACAUGAUGCAAUGCAAAUGAUGCAAAGAGAUGAGAUGCAUGACAUGAACAAAAUGCAAAACAAAAGACAAAAACCCAACCACGAAGGAAAUAUCAUAUUGCAUCUCCGGAAAAGGCAAGAGUUAGACUUACGAAUAUGGAAAGUUAUAUCCGGGGUGUUACAACACUCCACCACUACGAGAGGAUCUCGUCCCAAGAUCUAGGAUGGCACCGGAGGGAAAAGAAAGAGGAAGAUAAGAGGUAAAACGAAGUUGCUUCUUCGAUCAAUGAGUGAAACCACGAACCUUGAGAGGUUGAACAAAUUGAAAGAAACAAAACAAUGGAGAUGACCAAGAUUGCAAACAAUCCGUUAGAAAAGAGGAACAAGGAACAUCAAAUUCGGACAUCACUCCGGUUGAAAAUGGAAGGAAUAGAAUAUGAACUUGGCAAAAUGAAAGCACUUGGAUGAGACUUCGAUUAAAAGAGGAAUGAUAGACACAACACUCUGGUUAAGUGGAUAAGCAUGGAAAAGAACAUGAUCUUGACAAAACAAGAUGAUGAGUGAGGAGAGCAACAUGACAAUGCCUUCGGAACAAAAGAGUGGAAUGAAAAGAACGGAGAAGAGAACAACAACUUCUACCGCAGACAAAUUUGAAACAACAUCCUUACGGAGAAGGGUUGAACGGAGUUGUUGGAAAAAUCAACAACGAAAGCAUAAGAUUGUAGUGAGCUUAAGGAAAACUUCUCAAAAUUGAGGCAAAAUUCUGCCACUACGGAAACAAUAGAUUGGAUUGAUAUUAACAAGGAGAUGAGAAACUUAUUUUACCGGGAGGAUAAAUGAAGAACUUGGGCCAUUUAUAAGCACCAUAAAUAGCAACAAUCCUUAGGGAAGGCUUUAGGUGAAAUAUAACACAAGAUAACUCCAACGAAGAGAUUAAUGGAUUGAAAAGAUCUCAUGAUCGAAGAGAAAAAUGAUGGUUUUUAAAAUAUCUCAUUCUUGACAACUUGUGAAUCAUAAAACUUGAAGGGAAAUUAUCAAGAAUGACAUACCACCACCUCAAAAGAUAAGGUAGAAAGAAUUGCACUUCAAAAAUGCAAGAAGAAUAAUACUUGAAUGCCUCAAAACAAAACAUGUGUUGAGCACCAUGUUUAAUUUUGAGUAAAGCUUGGCGGAUCAUCACCUCGAGAGAAGUCUUGAAGAACAAAUGAAGAAUGAAAGGAAUCCUUGACGAACCACCAUGUGGAGCCUCCAUGAAGAACUCCGGUAAUAAAAAGAUGAUAAAAAGAAAGAGAAGUUGAAAACACAAGGUGAAGCCUUGUGAUGAUUUAGAAGGAGCUUCACGACGAGAUAAUGCGGAAAACUUGGAACUCCGGAAAAAAAAGAUGAAACACUAGAACCGAGAAUUACUUCAUCAUGAACAAUCUCCGGAAGAAAAGAAUUGAAUCACCUCGAGGAAAUAAGAAUAAGAUUUAUUGUAUGCUUAUCAUUCAUCAAAUGAAAUUGAUGACAAGCAAUGGAUUUGGCAUACUACUUAUUCCUCUUGAAAAGGACUGAGAAGUGACAUAUCGCAAACUUGAGAAGGUCUUCAUGAACCACCGGUAGGAUUGAAACAACGAAUUAAUUAAUAUGAUAACGAAGGAAGUGAAAUCUUGAACGAACCACCAUAAGAAUUGUAAAUGAAAGUAGCAAAGGCACAAUUCACCGUGAAGAAUGAAGAUACUUGAGGGGAUUUAGAUACAUGAGAAUGAAGAGAUCAUGAACUGAUUAGAGGAUAUUUGAAUGAUGCACUGGUAAGAUUUGGAGAACGAUAGCUACACGCUGAGAAUGAAGAAUUAUGACAUGAUGGCCUUUGGAGGAAAGAAAUAGAAACAACUCAUGAAAUGCACCAGAUUGUAAGAAAAGAAUUGUCACAAUCAAAAACAAUUAUGAGAGGAUGUCAUAAAGCUAGAACCAUGAAUCUCUGGAAGAACAGGUAAGGAUUUAAGAGGAACUCUUCUUCGGUCUUCAGAAUUCGAGAAUGAUGACGAUAAACACCACCAUGAAUUGUUGAGACACUCCAGAAUGAAAAUUAGAAAGGUUGAACCAACAACGAAAGAAUUUGAAAGAUCUUGGAGAAAGACAUUUGACUGAUGAUAAUUCAUUCUUACAUCAAACUUUGAAAUGAAUUUGGGAAUAGCUCCAGGAAAAUUAAUAGAGUCAAGUAAGAUCCUGGGAAAAGACAUGUGGGUUAGGGCCCAGUCAAAAGAUACACCAUUGAACUAUUUAAAAGAGAGGUUGCGCCGGUUGAAUUGAAUGGCUCAAAAGAGAUAACAACCUCGAGAUAUCUUGAACGGAUUAGGAAUGAAAACAUGAAUCUCCUGAGAUAACUUCAGCACUCCAGAACAAAUGAAUAGCGAGAGUGAAAGAUUAAGAGGUGCACCGGCAUGAAAAAGCAUUUGACACGAGGAAAAGAAUAUGAUCAACACUGAAAGCUUGAAAUUAAUCCACCGGAGAAGAAUAUGAGAAUGAAGAAUGAUGAACUUGAAGCUCCGAUAGUAUCUUCCUGAGAAUCACCAGAUAAGAGCAUUGACGCAAAAGAAUGGAGAGACUUCCCAUCGAUAAAAGGGUACUUGAUUAAGAAAUAUAGGUCCUUGAAGAAAAGGGUGGGAGGGCAGGAAAACAAAGGCAACUUGAGGCAGAUGGAAUGGACACCGUUGAGAAAACUUAUAAUUGAUCUCGCGAAUGUUGAAAUGAUCGGAUCCACUUGAAGAGAAGCACACCGGUUGGAAAGAAUUGACAUGACAAUCUCGAUGAUCAAAAGGAUUAGCACUCCCAUAGAAAUAUGAGAACACCGCUUGAAAGGUAUGGAAUCAACACUUGACAUUGAAGCAACUCAAAUACCGCAACUCAAAACAAAACAAAGGAUUGGCUUGCAGAAAUAAGCUGGAACAAAUACAUAUGAUAGAGAUUUACCCAAUCCCAUAUCAUGCAUCUGUCGGAAACAUAUUCUAGGAGCUACUAGAAUUCCUACCUAUAAACUCCUGAAACUUUCUGGUUAUGCAAUCUGGUGUUGGGGAUACAGGGGAAGCAAUAUAUCUCACCCAAAAUAACAAUCCCUACAUCCAGCUGUAUCCAUCCGUCAAUACAUAACCAAGAAAACUCCGGAAAUCGUGUACCUCAACCUUCGAAAAGCAUCCGUUGUACGAGCUAUGGCAAUACUCCCGAACUCCCCAGUACUGGGUGGUGUCGAGGUUAUCUCACCAACAACUGCAUAAAAGAGAUUUUCGAUGUUGGCAAAACUCAGGUAUUCUAGAACUGCAACGAUAAAAUUGUAAUGACAACACCUCAGAGCUCAACUCCCAGGGACACUGCCACAACCCCUAAAUGUCAGGAGGCACCAAGAACAAUGUUCUCGUCACAAGAAUAUCG
rnacentral:lncRNA from 1 species